rnacentral:lncRNA from 1 species
UCAAUAUAUGGUCCAACUAGAUGCCUCGUGACUUUUCUCACCCGACUAACAGCGAGUCAAGAUAUCUACACCGUCACCGUCACUGCACUUACCGCAUUCAGAAUUUUCAGAUCCACCUGUCCAUAACCUUCCCCAGGUCACUGCCACCGGAGUCCCCGCCACCACCAUAGCUCCAAUCGCCAUCAGUCCCUAAUUACCAAAUCACCAACCCAACAGCUCACAUCCGCCUAACAGGCCGAUAUCCUUCGUUUGAUAUUUUUCUUUUGUUUUUCUUUUAUUUAUUUUGAGUCUCCUAAUUAUUUUAUGUUUUAAUUUUUUUCUAAUUUUUUAAUUUUUCUAUUUCCUUUUCUUUAUGGUGCUUGUUUUCUGCUCCCGAGAUCUUUUAUAUAUGAUCGUAAAUGGUGUCGAUUCACAGUUUGGAUCAGAAUCGUAGCAGUGUUGAGAUGGAGAGAGUUUGCUUAUAUUGGAGUUGAUGAAUAAUUCUUUUUUUUCGUUUACCAUCUGAUUUCCAGCGAUGGUCCCGACUAAUCCUUUGAGAUAUAAUCACAGUUAAGAUUCCUUAUUCUUCUCAAAUGAUAUAUUUAGUGGAAAUCAAACUCGAGAGUUGAUGAAUAAUUCUAAUGGUGGUGCAAUGAGAUUUCGAUGACCUGGCCAUGUCGCUGAUGGCAUGGGUUGAGGCCUCAUCGAGAGUCAGGCUGGGAAUACUUGAAAUGAAGUGGUUAUCAUUGCUGAGGUUUUGUAGUUUUUUAGUUCUGUUUUGUAGUUAAUUAGCAUUAUGUUGUGGUGUAUUCUAUUAUUUUUUAUAUUCUUAUUUUCUUAUCCCAUAUAUUGUGCAAUAUGGUCUUGUAUUUAUGUCUAUAAUAUAUUAUAUUGUUAGUCAUUAUUAAUCUUCAAUGAUUGUGUUUGUAUAAAUAUAUAUAUAUAUAUAUAUAUAUAUAUAUAUAUAUAUAUAUAUAUAUAUAUGUAGCAUAUUCCAAGAAGGUUUUGACAAAAAAAAAGUUGUUUGGUCCACUGAAAACUGUACCUGGCUAAGACAAAAUCCGCUGUAAAUACGUGUCCUUGUUUAAUCAUCAUCUCGAACGUCAUUCUAUCAAAGUGCAAGCCCUAUUUAAACCUCCCACCAUGUGCACUCAGACUCGAGUGUGCACGCAAAUGCCAAAAAACAAGCACAUGGAGCAGCAACAGCAACCCCACUUUCUACUAUUAACAUUUCCAAUACAAGGCCACAUUAACCCAUCCCUCCAAUUCGCCAGGCGUCUUACGCGCAUUGGCACACGUGUCACCUUCGCCACCACCAUCUCCGCCUACCGCCGCAUGGCCAAUAAUCCCACGCCCGAAGACGGCUUGUCGUUUGCCAGCUUCUCCGAUGGAUAUGACGACGGAUUCAAUUCCAAACAAAAUGAUCUGACGCACUACAUGUCGGAGUUCAAGCGUCGUAGCUCCGAAGCCUUGGCUGAGCUCAUCACGGCCAGUCAAGACGAGGGUGGUCAACCGUUUACUUGCUUGGUUUACCCUCAACUCCUUCCUUGGGCUGCUGAAUUGGCGCGUGCGUAUCACCUCCCUUCGGCGCUAUUCUGGCUUCAACCAGCCCUCGUUUUCGACGUUUAUUACUAUUACUUCUAUGGAUAUGGCGAUCUAAUUGAAGGGAAGGUUAAUGAUUUGAUAGAGUUACCGGGACUGCCUCCACUCACCGGCCGUGAUCUUCCUUCUUUCCUAGAUCCCAGAAAUUCAAAUGAUGCUUACUCUUUCGUAUUAAAUUCUUUUAAAGAACAAAUGGAGGCAAUUGUUCAAGAAACCGAUCCAAGAAUUCUUGUCAACACGUUCGACGCAUUAGAAGCUGAGACCUUGAAAGCUAUCGAUAAGUUCAAUAUGAUCGCAAUCGGACCGUUAGUUGCAUCGGCGUUGUUGGACGGAAAAGAGCAGUACGGAGGCGAUCUUUGCCAGAAUAGUUCAAUAGAGUAUUAUAUGGAAUGGCUAAGCUCGAAGCCCAAAUCAUCUGUUAUCUACGUGGCGUUCGGAACCAUAUGCGUUCUGGAGAAGCGUCAAGUGGAGGAAAUUGCACGGGGGUUGUUAGAUAGUGGCCAUCCAUUCUUGUGGGUCAGUAGAGAAAACGACAAUAAAGAUAAAGAUAAAGAUGAAGGAGAAGAUGACGUGAUGAUGAAGUACAAAGAAGAGCUGAAUGAGAAGGGAAUGAUAGUGCCGUGGUGUUCACAAGUGGAGGUUCUGUCACAUGAAGCGGUGGGGUGUUUUGUAACGCACUGUGGGUGGAGUUCGAGCUUAGAAAGCUUGGUAUAUGGCGUGCCUGUGGUGGCGUUUCCUCAGUGGACAGAUCAAGGGACAAACGCUAAAAUUAUUGUGGACUUCUGCAAAACCGGAGUGAGAGUGAAGGCAAAUGAAGAAGGGAUUGUAGAAAGUGAUGAGAUUAACAGGUGUUUGGAGUUGGUGACCGGAGAAGGAGAUGAUUUUAGAAGAAAUUCUUUGAAAUGGAAGGAUUUGGCCAGAGAUGCCGUCAAACAAGGAGGGUCUUCACAUAAGAAUCUCAAGGCUUUUGUUGAUGACUUUAGCACCAGCAAGUAGUUUUAUCUUUUUGUUUUUUCCUCGUUUUUACUCUUUGAAUAUCAGAAGAUUUAAUAUAUAGAAGAAAGACAUUUGUAACGAUUUUUACCUUUUAUCUUCAUCUGUCCUAUGGCAUGACGGUUAAGCGACCAUCAUUAAUUUGGUGUCAAGAAAAUUUGAUGACGGAUUUUAUAUGUCAUGCAAUGCAUGAUAUAUUAUCCAUUACGAUUCUAUCAUAAAUAUUUUGAUAAUAAGUUAUCAUGCAUGACUAACAUUUAUUAUAAUCACUUUCAAAGCAUGACUAAUAUCUAUCGCAAGAGAAUGAUACAUAUAAAUGAAUUUGGCUGGAAUUCCAAAAUCUAAAUAAAUUUGGCGAAAUUUUAAAAUUUUUAAAUGAGUUGGGCUGGAAUUACAAAAUUAUUUUAUUUAAUUAUUAAUUUAUUCAAUUAAUUGUAUUUAUUAUUGAAUUAAAUUUUAAUUUUGAAAUAUAUUCUUUUAUAAAUUAUUAUGAUGACGAUGAUAUGUGUAUAUGCUCCAAAAUUAUAUAAAUAUAUACAAAUUAAGAAUUUAAAAUUAAUUAAACUACAUAAUAAUAACAUGAAUAUAUUAUUUGUUCUUUUAAACUAAAUACAAUUACUAUCAAUCACAUAAUAUGAACAAGAACAUCAUUCAUUCUUAGGCUACAUCAAACUCCAUAUUUCCACUAAAAACAUAAAAAUUCCAGCUUUUGAGAGAUGAUCGGUACAAACGCUGCAUGUUAACUUAACUAGCAAGCAAAAACCUAAAGCACCUCAUCAACCAACUACAGUCUAACAAAUUAUGUGACGUUCAUGACAAAAUCCAGCAUGGGGUCCUUAGAUCCAAAACACAAUUUAGUUGCCGGCCACCUAGAAUUUCAAUUAAGAGAAAAAAAACAUCAGUUGGAUAAUCUCAAAAACCAAGUUUCCAUCAAUUUUAUCUUUGCAAAAUGCACUAGGAUUAUUGUUAGGAAUUUGGUGGGUGAAGCAGAACCAUAGUUAAAAUGAAAUUGGAAGAAAAAAUAAAGAACAAGUAGAAAGAGGACACCAAGAAAUUACGUGGUUCAGCUUUUAGUCUACAUUCACGGGCAAAGACAGAAGGAAAAUAUUUUACUAGUGAUAUGAGAAUUACAAGUAUUGUAAUAUUUUGGCUCACUACCCAGAACCCUAAUACACCCAAUCUCUCACUCACUAGACUCACAAGAGCUUUAUAAUUUAAACCUUUAAAAUUACCCAAGCUCCCUGCUUUCUCUCUCACAAAUUUUUUAUGCCAAAACGAAAUGGGGAGCUCUAUAAUUUUUUUUCUCACCGCCAUUAUCUUCUUCAUUCUUCUUUUUCCUUCUUCAAAGAACGCUACUGCCAAAUUCCAUUUUUUCGUCGUCUUUCAUUUUGUCUUUGUUCAAAUUUGGCAGCUUCAACUCUUCCUUUUUCUUCUUCCUUGUUUUCUUUGGGCCGCAACUUCCCCUUCAAUAUUUGCUACUUCAAAGUUUCUUCAUUCUUCUAGAUUGGUGGCUGUCAAAGCCAAUUUGAAUUUGGCUUGUUAAAGCCACCGGCUUUGUCAGCCAUUAUUUUGACAAUUAUUUGCUUUAAUAAACUUCAAUAUGGCCUCAAAUUGACGUAUACAAUUUGAGAAAGUACAACACCAACAAAACUCUCAAUUAUCUUAAUGUAGUCUUAUUGUACCUAACCGAUAACUUUCAACGUAAAACAUGAACUAUAAAAAGCCUCAAACAUAUAUAUUUCACUUUAAACACUUUAUGAACUAAUAAAGUAAUAGAGUACAGUCUAGAAAAUUAUUUACAAAUUUAUAACUGCCAUAAAACUUAAACCCUUAUGUGGUGUAAAAUUAAAUUUUAAGAUCUAAAUCCCUAACAUAACUUCAAUAAUUAAAAAAAAAAACCUAGAAAUGAUCAAUAAAAGUUUUCUUUCUAAUUUUCAAAUUCCAUUCACAAUAAUUUAAUUCUAACUUAAUAAGAAACAAAAACAUUCAAAUCAUUAUAAUAAAUGUUCAUUCUAAAAUAUCACUUCCUAAGAACACAUAAGAGUUGGGACAGAGGAGACGACAUAUCGGAGCUAGUGGAGAUAUUAGUAGCAGAUGUAGUAGAGAAGUGAGCAUGCACCGAGUAGAAGGGGGUUAGUUCAGGUCGUUUGGAAUUGGAGGCUGCUAGUUCUAGUUUGGCUCCUUUGGAGAAAUUGAAGGGGGGUUGUGCGAGUUAAAAAGAAAGACGUUUGGCAUUUGGGUUUUGUUUUAAAUUAAGGUGGAGGUGCAAUUAGUCAUAAAAGAGGGUUAACUUAAAACAAUUUAAUUUUAAAGUGUCAAUUAUAUUUAAAAGUUCAUGACAAAUGUCUAUCAUAGUGCACAAACACCGUCGAAUAAUCAAAUCAUGUAAAAAUCAAUGUUAUAUUACAAUGGUAUUUUUGUAAUUAAAGUUAUUAUAGAAAACUUAAAAUAAUUGAAUUAAUAAUAAAAAAACGACGCCAUUGCAUACCAUGCCUGUCAUGGCUUGAAACGAUGUCAUUUCAAUCUAUGACAAUGCCUGUCAUGCUUCGCAAACAACGUUAGAUGGUAUCGUAAAACGACUUGUCAUUUUAAUUUAUUAAAAAAAAUCAACAUUACAUAUAUCUAUCAUUUACUUAUGUCAGUAAGUUAUAAGUCACGAAUAAGUCAUGUAAUCUUGACAUAUAAUUAUAUGUCACGAACAUGUCAUACACAUACAUGAUAUAUUUGUGACACAAUGUUAUCUGUUAAAAAAAUUGUCAUUAAUUUGCGUUUCUUUAGUAGUGUUUAGGAUCAUAUGAUAUAUGAUAUGGUAAGAGAUGAUAUAAUUAAAUAUUGUAUUUGUGUAUGUUUAGUUGAAUUUUGUAUGAUCAUUAAUUAUAUGUUUUUCAAAAUAAAUAUACUUAUGUCAUAUAAUAUUAUUUAUUUAUUAUCAUCAUAUUUAUAAAAAAAUUUAGCAUGCAUUGCUCUUUUUAUUAUUAUUGUUAUCAUUUUAUACGUGGACAUACCAUUAUAUAUAUGGAAUAAUGAAAGUGAAUCAGCUUCACAAUAUCACCUAGCAAAUACAUGAAAUGGUGGAUCGGUACCCUAGUCUCCAGAGUGAUGCUAUAUAUUUAUAUAUAUGCACUUCACUCCACAAUAUCAGCCAGCAAGUACAUGAAAUGGGGUGAAUUAGUACCCUAGUCUCCAGAGUAAUGCUAUGUGUGUGUGUGUGUGUGUAGACACUUGUACAACUAUGUGCUGAGAUAAAUUUGAGCUUUAUGCCCUUUAUCUUACAUUUCCAAGUAAAAAAAUUCAUUAGAUAAAAGUUUGAGAUUUACCUUAAUUGGCCAUGAAUCCAAAUUUUAUUAUCUAGCUUGCCUCUUACUCGUGAAUCCAACAUUUUUUUCCUCUAAUUUGCAGUGAUUCUACCUUAAAUUUCAGCUGCAAAAUCAAGCUCACUAUGCACACAAACACAAUCGGCCAAGAGGGAGGGAUAGAGAGAGAGGUGCACUGUACUCAUACCCCAGAUUCUAUGAAUAGUGAACUCCGAAUAAGCUGAAGGCACUUAAAUAUUAUAGCUGAGUGCAGGGAUCCCUCAUGUGUUAGUACAAAAUUGCCCAUUCCAUUAUGAGCUAAAAUAACACAAUUGAAGGUUAUACUUGCCCAUAAUGGACUACUAUAUAGGGUAUGACAAAAUUAGACUCAUUAACAUAAUAUUUGAUCACUUAAUAAAUGAGUUUGUCAAAAGUACUCUUUAAUAUUUGACAUCAGUCACAUAUUAAUCCGGUAAAACAUGAAAAAUAAUUAGAAUGAUCUAUGCCAAUCUACAAUAUGUGAGAAAUAAAUCUAACACAAUGUGCAAACUACAAGAAAAGUAAUUUUUUUACUUACUUGUACAACUAUGUACUAACCGUUUUUAGGCAGAAAAGAUUUUUGUUCAAUCAAGUCAUCAAUAAUAAACAAAAAUAAGUGUAUAACUUUUCUAAUGGCAAAAUAACUAUUAAAAAUAGCUUCGAAUUUGGUUGUUAAUAAAUAAACUUUAGUAUAAAACAGUAGUAUCAUUAUUAAAUAGUGGAGAAUGCAUAUUUAUAAAGGGUAAAAUUAUCAUUUUUUAUUCCAAAUCUCACUAACAUUUCAACUUUUACGUGUUUAAAUCCUCUAACCUUUUAUUAUGUGCGUUUUAUUAUAAUUUAAAUAUUUUAUAUAUUUUAGGGAUAUUUUGGCCAUUUCACAACUAACGAGAAGUCGGACAACAAAACGGAUGGCAUUUUUAAACUCGGAACGAUCAAAAACCAUAAGAGCAUCACAUGUAUGGUAUUAUUCAUUUAUACGAUACGUUCACAUAUGCAGUACUAUUCACAAGUACGACACUGUUCACAUUUACGGGUCGAAGAUGUGGCAUUGACCAAUGAUGUGCCAACAUCCUAUUGGACCAACAAUGUGGCAUUGACUGAUGAUGUGGCAUUGAUCGAUAAUGUGUCAAGAUGCUAUUGGACCAAAAUACUGACGUGGCGUUGACCGAUGACAUGGUAGCAUCUUAUUGGACUGAAAUGUUGAGGUGGUGUUAAUUGAUGAUAUGUUUCAGUCAAUCAAAACUUGUCACGUGGCACAAUCCUCAACAUCCGAAUUGUUUUCAUUCGAUAGCCAUGAUUUACCCAUUAUAUCUAUAAAUAGAGGGCUCUCUCCCUACUAAUUUGACAUCCCUAAAUUCAUUUUUUGGCUCUUUUUUCUAUAGUUACCAUUUUACCCUUAGUUAUAUAUAUAUAUAUAUAUUCGUUGGAAUAUCAAUUAUUAAAAACUCAAAUUAAACAAUGCUUGGAUUGGGUCGGCGUUGUCCAAUUUUAUAAGUAAUUACCAGCUUUGAAAUAAGAAUCUAAUGAUGGUGAUAAUGAAGAACAAAGACUUGACAACAUUGAAUCUGUGCCAAGUGAUUUUCUGUUUGUUUUAAAAUAAAUCACCACCAGAAAAUAUUUGAUUAAAGUCACUUUAAUCUUUUCAAAUGAUUUUGCUAUAGACGCCAUUGCCCUUUUUGACACUGGUGCUGAUUUAAAUUGCAUAAGAGAAGAUAUUGUCCCUAAAAGAUUUCAUGAGAAAACUAAAGAAAGACUUUCUGCGGAGUCUAACUGUUGAUCACGGUGAACCUCCUGUCCAGAUUAGAGCCUCUCCUUACAAAAUUCCUAAACCUAAUGAUUCUGAUGCAAAUUUAAGUAGUAUUAUCCAACAGAAUAAUUUCUGUAAUACUAACUUAAAUACCAUUGGAAAACAGUUGAGUAGGAUAGAAAAUCAAUUCCAAAAGUCAACCAUAGCUGUUUCUUCUACUCCUAUUCCAUCAAAAUUGGAUUCUGACAAGAAGCUUAAAGAGCCUAUUUUCAAACCUUUUUAGGUUUCGAAAACUAGUCAAAAGCUUAUUCAUGAGUCAAAAUCAGAUUUUGCUAAAGCCAUUAGAGAACAACUAGAUAGGAUAGAAGCUGCUUCUUCCUCAUCUAGAAAAGUUCAAAUAGCUCCUGAUACUCCUCAAUCUAGCAAGAUUGGAGUAUUAGAACAAGACAAGAUGUCUGACCAAAUGUCUAUUACCUCUUCUGAUAUAGAAGCCUUUAAAGAAAAACCUAUUCCUAAAGCCAAUAAAAUCCAUUGGGAAUUAGCCCUUCCCAUUGUAAAGUCUCCACCUGAUUUGACCAUAGACAACAGGCCUAGUGCAUUAAACCAAUCUCGAUAUAAUGCAUCCUCUGUCUAUGAGUGGAAUUUAGAUGGAAUGUCUGAGUAUAACAUCUUAGGAUUGUUGCAACAGAUGACCAUGGCAGCUAAUGCAUAUAAAACCCAAUCAGGAACUUCUGACAAAGCCAUUGCAGAAAUCCUUAUUGCUGGUUUUACAGGUCAACUCAAAGGUUGGUGGGAUCAUCUUCUCACCCAACAGCAACAAUUAGAUAUUCUAAAUUCCAUACAAAUCGAUGAGGAUAAAAUACCCAUUUUUGAUGAGUUUAAUAACCCAAUUCAAGAUGCGAUUGCCACUCUAAUCCUCACUAUUUCUCUUCAUUUCAUAGGUGAUCAUUCUCACCUUAGAGAUAAAAACGCUGAGUUACUACAUAAUUUAAGAUGUAGAACACUUAGUGAAUUCCAGAGUUACAAAACUACUUUCUUUACCAGACUCUUUCUCAGAGAUGAUGCAAAUCAUAUAACUUGGAAAGAGAAAUUCCUUGCUGGUCUACCUACCCUUUAGGAGAAAAGGUUAGGAAUCCCAUUAAAGCCCUAUACGAUAAUCGUAUCCCUUAUGAUGAGCUCACCUACGGUGAACUUGUUAGUUUUAUUAACAAAGAAGGUUUAAAGAUCUGUCAAGAUUUGAAAUUACAGAAACGACUUAAAUGGGAGCUUAGGAAAUCUAAGCAAGAAUUAGGCAGUUUCUGUAAGUAAUUCAACUAUGACCCCUUUAAAACUUCUACCUCCAAAGGAUGUAAUGGUGAGUGUUCUUCCAAACCUCACAAAAGACAUUACAAAUCCAAAAGCCAUAGGAAGCCAUUCCAAAAUUUUAGAGAAUCUUCUUAUAAAAAACCCUCGAGGCCUUAUAAGAAGCCCAACUUCUCUAAGAAAAAGGAAUUUAAACCUAAACACAAAACCCCUUUCAAUUACAAAGAAGCCAUUUGCCAUAAGUGUGGCAUAAAAGGCCAUACUGCAAAGUAUUGCAGAAUGAACCGAAAACUUCACGAGUUAGGACUCGAUGAAGAAAUCCUCUCUAAAGUUGCCUCUCUUCUUGUAGAGUCUUCUGACUCUGAGUCUUCCAUAUCGGGAGACAGUGACUCCCUCCAAGUCGAUGAGCUAAUUGAUUCAGAUACUUCUGCAUAUAGCAGUAGUAAUUCUGAGUCAGAUUCUUAUUUAAAGAAAAUCAAUGUUUUGACAAAAGACCAAGAAAUUUUUCUUGAACUUGUUAAACACAUUUUUGACCCGAAUCUUCAAAAAGAAUAUCUUGAUAAGCUUUUAAAGACCCUGGAUUCUAAUAAAGCAGAAACUUCCAAAAUUCCAAUUGUUAAAAAGAGUUCUUAUGACCUCACCCAAAUUUUAGACAAAAAGAAAAUAAAGAAAACAACACCUAAUAUCCAAGAUCUUCAAAAGGAAAUCAAAGAUAUUAAACUCGAGAUAAAAGAGUUAAAAGAAAAGCAAAGAAGUGAUUCUGAAACUAUCCAACUUCUCCUACAAAAACAAUUACAGAACAAUUCAGAUAAAGAAUCUAAUGAUGGUGAUAAUGAAGAACAAAGACUUGACAACAUUGAAUCUGUGCCAAGUGAUUUUCUGUUUAUUUUAAAAUAAAUCACCACCAGAAAAUAUUUGAUUAAAGUCACCUUAAUCUUUUCAAAUGAUUUUGCUAUAGACGCCAUUGCCCUUUUUGACACUGGUGCUGAUUUAAAUUGCAUAAGAGAAGAUAUUGUCCCUAAAAGAUUUCAUGAGAAAACUAAAGAAAGACUUUAUGCCGCCAAUAAUUCAAAACUUAAAGUCAACUCUAAAGUUGAAGCUUCUAUUCAUAAUAAUGAUUUUGAAUUCAGAACUUCUUUUAUCCUUACAAAUGACAUACACCAUGCUGUCAUUUUAGGAACCCCAUUUAUAAAUUUGAUUACCCCAUAUACUGUCAAUUACGAUAGUAUAUCUUUUAAAGCAAAAUCCAAAAGCUUAUUUUUCCUUUUAUUGAAAAACCAAAAACAAGAAAUCUAAACAUUGUUAAAGCUUGCUCAGUUUAUCAAAACCAUAUCAAUGUCGUUCUUAAAUCUAAACAAAAUGACUUGUUUUGUUUAAAAAAGGAUUUAAGUUUACAAAGAAUUGAAAGACAAAUACAAAAUGACUUUAUACAAAGAAAAAUCUCUGAUUUUAAAAAUCUCAUCGAAAAAGAAAUAUGCGCUGAUUUACCAUCUGCUUUUUGGGAAAGAAAACAACAUCUGGUUGAUUUGCCCUAUGAAAAUUCUUUUGAUGAAAAAUAAAUACCCACUAAAGCUCGUCCAAUCCAAAUGAAUAUGGAAUUGGAACAACAUUGUAAAAAUGAAAUAAAGGAUUUAGAGUCAAAGGGACUCAUUGUAAAGUCCAGAUCCCUAUGGUCUUGUGCUGCUUUUUACGUAAAUAAAAAUUCCGAAACUGAAAGAGGAACACCAAGACUUGUAAUAAAUUACAAACCUUUAAAUAAAGCAUUGAGAUGGAUUAGGUAUCCUAUACCUAAUAAAAAAGAUUUACUCCAAAAACUGUGUUCUGCCCUUAUUUUUUCAAAGUUUGACAUGAAGUCUGGUUUUUGGCAAAUUCAAAUUCACCCAAAUGAUCGUUAUAAGACUACUUUUACUGUUCCAUUCGGACAGUAUGAGUGGACUGUAAUGCCAUUUGGCUUAAAGAAUGCACCCUCAGAAUUUCAAAGAAUAAUGAAUGACAUUUACAACCCCUAUUCUGAGUUUUGCAUUGUCUAUAUAGACGAUGUGUUGAUUUUUUCUCAAUCAAUUGAUCAACAUUUCAAACACUUAAAGACUUUCUAUUAUGCCACAAAGAAAGCUGGUCUAGCCCUUUCUAGUUCAAAGAUUUCAUUGUUCCAAACUAGAGUCAGGUUCCUAGGUCAUUAUAUUUCUAAAGGAACCAUAACUCCUAUUGAAAGGUCCCUUGCCUUUAUAGACAAGUUUCCUGAUAAAAUCCUUGAUAAGACUUAGUUACAAAGAUUUUUGGGCAGUCUCAAUUAUGUUCUUGAUUUCUGUCCCAACAUAAAUAGGAUUGCCAAACCAUUGCAUAAUAGGUUAAAGAAAACCCCUGUUGCAUGGUCUGAUGAGCAUACAAAAAUUGUUCAGCAUAUAAAGACCAUAGUAAAAAGCAUUCCAUGUUUAUUUCUUGCAAAUCCUACACUGCCUAAGAUUGUUGAAACUGAUGCAUCAGAUUUAGGUUAUGGAGGCAUAUUAAAGCAAAAAGAAAAUGAUAAAGAAUAGAUAGUACAAUAUGUUUCUGCACAUUGGAACGAUUGUCAAAAGAAUUAUUCUACCAUUAAAAAAGAAAUUUUAUCAAUUGUUUUAUGCAUCUCUAAAUUCCAAAGUGACUUAUUAAAUCAAAAACUUUUACUUAGGAUAGAUUGCAAAGCUGCAAAACAUGUUUUAGAAAAAGAUGUUCAAAACAUUGCAUCAAAACAGAUUUUUGCACGUUGGCAAGCCAUCUUAAGUGUUUUUGAUUUUGAUAUUGAAUAUAUUAAAGGUGAUACAAAUUAUAUUCCUGAUUUUCUAACUCGGGAAUUUCUUCAAAACAGAUAAUGCCGCCAAAAAGAAGAGACAAAGGAAAAGGCACUGCCAAAGACCCUGAACCUAAAGCCACUCCUAAAGACUCCUAAUCUUCUCCUCCUAAAGAAAAAUUACUAUCAUCUGCCAUGCCAAUCAAGUCUUGGAUUGACAUGAUCGAAGAUGACGAAGCAAGAUCUAAAGCCCUCUCUACCCAAGAGCAAGUACAUCAAUGGAUGAAAUCCAUUUCCAAAUCACCCGAGCUUAUGCUCGCCCUACAAAGUAGCUUUUCCCAAAGCCAAACACCUUCAAAAGACAUUUCUGAAAGAGAAAGCCCAAAAGAAAUUACAAAGUCCCUUUCCCAAAAUGUUGUUGUUUCUGGUGAGAGUUCGUCGUCACAGAUUGUUCUUUCACAACCAACACAAAAGACUUCGGUUUGGUUUGAUAAAGCCCAUUCCCAAAAUAUUUUAACUAUAGAAGAUGUGUUUUACCAUUCUGAUCCAUUUCAAACCCUUACAAAGUUUUUCCCUCAAGGCUGGUUUUUUAAACCAUGGGAUUUAACAAAACCCCAGCCUUACUAUCAAAGUAUUUUGGAAGCCACUGAAUCCGUUAAAUUCAAACAUUUUUUCCUCAGUGACUCCCAUUCUGAGCCGGCCUAUUCAACGGCUACAAGUUUAAAAGUUUUGAGCCCAAAAUAAUGGGGUGAUCUACUCCAUAAUCAAAAAAGAUUUCCCUCCAAUUUUCAAAUGUGUUUACCACAUUGUUUGACUUUCUCCUACUGGGAUUAUCAACAAGCCUGGUACAACACAUUUUUCUUACAAAACCCUAAAAAAUCCCAUUCAUGGUUAUUUUUCUUUAAUUCCAAAAUAACCAUACAAAACCUUCCUAAUUGGUUUAAACAAUGGUGGAACCAUUUUGGCCCAACUCCUGAUAUCCUUACACCAAAUGCCACCCACUGUUUAAAUUUGUUCAAAGCCCAUUAUACUCCCUCUGAAUCAGAAAAAAGGUUUUCACAUUUCUUCUGUUUUUGUACAAACUUCUUUCUUCCUUGGGUUUGGAUGUGGAACCUCAAUUACCACACUCAAGAUGCCCAAAUUAUCCUACAAAGAACCUUUAAAGUAAAAUGGUGGUCAAAAUUUGAUGAACAGUCAAAAUUGACUGACAAUUUGGUCCGAAAUUGGCUCUCUGCCAAAGGACUUCUCCAACCAACCAUUAAUCAAUCCAAAGCCCAACAAACUUUCUUGAGCCAAAAAACCAAAGCCCAAUCUCUCCUUGCCAGCGCCAAGACUGAAGAAGAAUACUUCACUGUCAUGCAACAACUUCUCGCCACAAGAUCAGAGACAUCUGUUGCAUCUUCCUCUUCAAGCACUUCAGGAGAUGAAGAACCUUUUAUUUCUCUUGGUAAUGAAAAUGAAGAUGACUGCUUCGGCAUUUUCUCUCCAAUAAAGCAUUAAAACUGUUUUAAAGCCAAUUUACCACUUUACUUAUUUGUAUCUAUGUACAAGUUUUGUACUUAAAAAAAAAAAAGAUAUUUAUUUUUCCUGAUCUUCUUCGGGUGGUCCCCUAGACACAAGUGAGAGCGCACAUGUCUCUUCACCCGUAUUCUACUACAAAGCCUACUGUAUGCUACAGCCCCUGUAUAAGUCUACAGUGCAGAGUUCCAGAUGUUACUGUGCACUUAAAACUCCGCUACAGUGAACAGUGCAGAGUUCCAGAUGAUACUGUGCACUUAAAGCUCCGCUACAGUAAACAGUUAAAAUUUUUUUUUUUUGUAUAAAAACCGAGAGGAAGACUUAGACUCCUCAGGUUUUUCAUUUUUAGGUUUACAACUUCUCUCUCUUCUUCUCCUCCUUCUCUCUAGAAUUCUCUCUCUCUCUCUCUCUUCUUUCUCUCUCUCGGGAUUAAAAAAGAUCUUCUGUAUUCAAGGAAUUUUCCCUAAGUUCCUUGUUUUCAGACUAUUUUCCGAUUUUCCACUCAUAAAGCUGUCGAAUCAAAAGAAAUAAAGAAAUAAAUGUAAAGUUAUUUUAAAGCAAUUUCAAUUUCAUGUAUAUUUAAAUUUCCGCAUUUUAAAUUUUUGCAAUUUACUUUUCUGCAAUUUACUUUAUGUAAUUUAAAUUUCUACAAUUUAAUUUUAAAGCAAUUUCAAUUUCAUGUAUAUUUAAAUUUCCGCAUUUUAAAUUUUUGCAAUUUACUUUUCUGCAAUUUACUUUAUGUAAUUUAAAUUUCUACAAUUUAAUUUUAAAGCAUUUCUCUUUUACAAAGCAUGAUUGCAGACUGAUCUGUAUCAGAUCUGCCAUAAAAAUUGUACGUUCCUCUGAGGCAAAGAGACCAGAUCUCGAUCCUCAGUUGUAAAUCUUCUCUUCUCCCUCCAUUCCUUCAGAGCACCAUUUCCGGGAACCGAAUCUGGUACUGUGUAUGCACCCUAGCCAUAGAUGAAUGUUGUUGCUAGGCUUUCUUAAAGAACUUAACAAAUAUUUGGUAAAUAUAAUUAGUAUAUAGGCUAGAAACUAGAACGUGCGGAAUAUUGAUCUGUUCUAAGUCAGAUCUGGUUCCCAAGACAGACUUGUCUCUGCAUCGAUCUAGAUACAACGCCACGUACCUUUAUUAAAACUUGAACAACCGCGUUCCAAAGCAAAUCUAUUUAUUUCAAAGCUGGUAAUUACUUAUAAAAUUGGACAAAGCCAACCCAAUCCAAGCAUUGUUUAAUUUGAGUUUUUAAUAAUUGAUAUUCCAACGAAAGCACAUCCAUCAUUCGAUCCUAUUUCCUUCUGGUAUAUAUAUAUAUAUAUAUAAAAUUUUUUUUUUUACUUUCGGACUUAAUGUGGUUGUUUUGACUCAUUGUCAACAAACAAUGUAUCUUGUCUAGAUUUUACUCAGCAUACCAACUCUCUAGUGAAAGAUCAUUACUGUCUGGCACAAUGAGCACUUAGCACCAUAUUUAUUAAAGGAAAAUUUUCCUCUAGCAUUUUAUGGGUCAUAUUGACUCAGUAUCGAGAGAUUGCAUCUAAGCUAUUUAGUGGGUGGUCUUGCCACAUUGUUGAAAGAAGGAUUAUUAUUGUCUGGUAUAGCGUGUUCUUGACACCACACUUAAUGGACGAUCAUUACCCUCUAGCACACUGAGCUCUUAAUACUAUAUUUAUUAGAGUGAGGAUUUUCAGGAGUGGCAAUACUUAAAAUACUAGCUAUGCAACUUAAGAUGAGGGUGAAUUAGGUUUGAAAAAAAAAUUAUGUUAUGCUUGCAUAAAAGUUAAUGCAAAUCUUAAACAAAUUCAAAACAAUAGUAGAUAAACCAAUCAAAAAGUAAAGAGAUAAGGGAAAAGAAUUUCAAACACAAAUUUUUAUGUCGUUUGGCCAACCCUGCCUACGUCCACGCCUCCAACCUCACCGGGCUUGAGGAUUCUAUUAUUCAAGCCUCCAAGGCUUCAAUACCUUUUACAAUUGACUUCACAAAUGUCAAUCAACCUUUACAAUAAGAGAUUGUCCCAAAUCUCUUAACCUAAGUAUAUCUCACACUCACAAUCACUCGAAAAUAAAGAUUACAAAAGAGUUUUCCCUCACACAACAUAUAUGUUUACAAGUGAAAGCUCAAAGUGUGAUUCAACGAAACAAUGACAAGUUUAAAGCUCAGUAAAGAUUGUUUACUCAGUAGUAAGCUCAACUAUGACUGUUAGAUCACUUUUUAUUUGAAUUUGAUUGAGUCAUUUUAUGGUCGCUGCUGAAAAACUAGCCGUUGUUGACUUUCUGCAUACAAUUAGAUCGCCGUUAGCCUUUAACCAAUUGCCAUUUUGACUUAAGCAAGUGACUAUAAUUUCAAAUUGUUGGAUCAUCAUUUUCUAGAUGUUGAAUCGUCGUUAGUUUCCAAUGUAACACCUUAGGUGAAUCCCACAUCGGCAAAGCACGAGAGAGAUGCUGGGUUUAUAAGGGGUGAUUCACACCUUAAUUGGCAAGAAGCGUUUUGGGAUGUAUAGGCGCCCCAUGAACAAAAUCGUGCUGGCUUUAUUAAGGGCUAAAACGGACAAUAUCUUGCCAGGUCUGGGUUGGGUCAUGACAUUAUGGUAUCAGAGCAACUCCACAUGUCCUCUUGAACGAUAGUAGGACAAACCUCAGCGAGAACGCUAAGUCCCCAAAGGGGGGGUGUAUGUAACACCCUAGACAAAUCCCACAUCGGCAAUGCACGGGAGAGAUGUUAGGUUUAUAAGGGGUGAUCCAUACCUUAAUUGAUAAGACGCGUUUUAGGGUGUAUGGGCACCCUAUAAACAAAAAUUUGCAGGCCUUGUUAAGGGUCAAAGCGGACAAUAUCUUACCAGGUCUGGGUUGGGUUACGACAUUAUGGUAUUUUAGCGGCUCAGCGUGUCCUCUUGAGCGAUUGUAGGGCAAACCUCAACAAGGAUAUUGAGUCCCUAACGGGGGUGUAUGUAACGCCCUAGGCGAAUCCCACAUCGGCAAAGCACGAGAGAGAUGCUGGAUUUAUAAAGAGUGAUCCACACCUUAAUUGGCAAGACGCGUUUUGGGGUGUAAAGCUAACAAUAUCUUGCCAGGUCUGAGUUGGGUCAUGACAUCUAGUAACUUGCAAAAGAGAUAUCGACUUACCAUAUUUCCAGAAGUCUAUUUGCCGUUAGUGUCCAGAAUUUAAACUUCAAAUUUUACUCAAUAUCGGUUAGUUGUUUAUAUACUAAGGGUUAGUCGAUUGCGUCCAGAGAGGAUGUAAUCUUGCCUUAAUUAAUCGGUUAGCCCUUUUUUAGCAAGCAGGAAACCAUUUAUUACCAAAAUUUUAUUCUAUGCUCAAUUCAUUGUGUGGCUUAAGAAAUUUGGACUAAAAAAUAUAUAACUCAAUGAAGAAAAAAAAAAGUUAUAUACUUGGUAUCGUCAUCUUGUUAUAGCACUCAAAUAAAUGAAGUUUUAUCUUAAAGCUAUACCAGAUAUAUAGAUGCAAUACCAUCAGUUAACAUUCAAAGAUUAUGGGAAACUUUAAUACGACAUCAACUAAUCAAUUAGGUUUCAUUAGCCAACACAAAAUAACUAAAAACAGAACAAAUUCUGUGAAAAAUUAAUCUAAAAAUCUUUGAAAAGUAAUUGCUUUUGUACUAGGAAUUAAAAGUAAAAAGGAAAAGCAUUCCACACACUUUGACAUUCUAUGAAAUAUCUCAUAUACUUCAUUUUUUGUCUCGACCUCUCAACAACAGUCAAAAAAUUUUCAAAGAGCCAACUUCGACCUCGUGAAUUUAGAUUUAUAUAAGUAUAUACAAAUCGACAACAGGUCUUAUUCUAACGAUUAAAACUAAUGCUUUCCAUGGUCACUAUAAGUAAAAAGAAAUUAAAGUUAUUUUUCUCCUUUCUUUUUCCUAGGACAACUCUUGUUCAAACCAAAAAACCUUGAUCUUGAACAUCUUUAUAAUCAAAACACAAUUACCUACAUACAGUGCCAUAUCGUAAUGUGCAAAGAGGAAGACGCAUAAGACAAUCAAUAUCACUGAUAGCAUAUAUUUUCUUCCCUUUUUAAAUUAGAGACAGCCAGCUGAAGCUUGACUUGCUUAUCAGCCUCGCUUGGAUUCAACCACUUGAGAGGAAGCCAACAACAGUUUUUGCAUUAGAUGCUCUGCCUAUAUUUUCCCUCGGCAAUCCUUUUACAUUGGAAGCAUAAGACAUUAAAAAAAAACACUGAUAGUAACAAAUUAACUGACAAUUCAAAAUGUUAUACAAUUCAUGUUAAUUACUAUAAUCUAAUAAGGCAAGGAAAAAAAAUUAAGGACAUUAAUUGCAGAAAAAAAGUGAAACAAUUAUUCAAAAAUAUAGAUCUUAAUGUAUGAAAAUACAAACAAAACCCUAAAGCCUAAAGGAUCUGUUUUCUGAUUUGAAAUUAAAAAAAAAUCAAAUUUCUAUUUUAACAAACAAUAAUAAUUUUCAAAUUUACGCGUAUAAAAGAGUAUAAAAAUGUGUAAAUAUGUUUUCAUUUAGGUAGUAGCUUUGCUCGUCUAAACAUAACUCUUUUUUUAGUGUUGUAUUAAAAUAAAAAAUAAUUGAAUACUAUUUAGAGUAAUAUAUUAUAUAAUUUUAGGAAAAGCACAUCUACACCCCCAAAUUUUGGAGAAAUGGCCAUCAACACCCCCAAGUUUUUAAAGAGGGACACCAAGACCCCUUUUUGAUGAUUAUAACCUUUAUUUCUAUUAUCCCAAAAGAAUUAACUCUAAUAUUUUAUAAUAAAUAGAAAUAUAAUAUUAAAAUAAAUAUAAUAAUAUAUACAUUUUAAAAUAAUUUCAAUAUUUAAAAAAUAUUUUAAUAUUUUAAAGAAAAUUUUAUGAUAAAUAGAAUCAUAAUAUUAAAAUAAAUGUAUUAAAAAUUUAAAUUAUUUUUAAUAUUAUGUAAAAUAAUAAUUUUAACAAUAUUAGUAUGCGAGAAUGUUUUUAAUUGUAGAACGUAUUUAAUGCAAAUAUUUAUUUAAAAUCUCUACAAUGAAUAAAAAUAUAUUAUUAAAAUAAAUAUAAUAAUUUACAUAUUAGAAUUUAUUAAAAUAUUAAAUAUUUUAAUAUUGUUAUUCUACUGCAUAAAUUACAUUAUUUAUAGAAUUUGUAUGUACUAAAAAUUUUAAAGUCAAUUUUUUAGAAUAAUAGAGGUAAAUGGUAUAAUGGUCAAAAUGGGGUCUUAGUGUCCCUCUUUAAAAACUUGGGGGUGUUGAUGACCAUUUCCCCAAACCUUGGGGGUAUAGAUGUCAUUUUUCCUAUAAUUUUUUUAGAAAAAGUUUACAAUCUAUAUACAAAUUAUGAUUUAUAAUUUAAUGGGAUUCUAUAUACGUAUACUUUAUAGUACAGUCUGAAAGUUCUCCGAGUGUUAACUUGGGAACCUAUUCCCAUAAAUAUACAAAGAGGCAUCUGCUUUAUUUUAAAUUAAUAUUAUAAUAUUAUAGUUAUAUUAUUAAUUUGCUUAACUUUAUAAUAUAAUACCGGCAAUAAUUUGCAAUGACAAUUAACAACAUUUAUCAUUACAUCAUUAAAAAAUUUAGGGAAAUUAUCAUUUGAAUACCCUUAGUUUACUUCAUUAUCAAAAAUACUACAACACUUUGAGGGUGUAUCAAUCGUCAACUCUAAGUUGACAAAAUGUAUCAGCUGACCACCAAACCGUUAGUUGCCGUUUAAGUAUGAUGACGUCAGAAUGGUAAUUUGGUCUUUUCAUAUGAUACAAGUGAUAAUUUAAAGGUAUACAAGUGAUAAAAAGAGAAUUUAAGGGUAUACAAGUAAUAAUUUUCAAGGGUAAAAUCGUCAAUUCACUGUAAUUCCAUUAACUUUCAAACGGCAACUAACGGUUUGGUGGUCGGCUGAUACAUUUUGUCAACUAAGGGUAGACGAUUGAUACACCCUCAAAGUGUUGUAGUAUUUUUGAUAACAGAACAAAUAUAAGGUAUACGAAUGAUAAUUUUCCAAAAAUUUAUUACCAACAAAAUGUUGUUGUAUUUAGAAUUAAAAAAAGUAUAAUAUUAAUAAAGUUAUCAUAUAUUUGUUCAGUUUAAUAAUAAUAAUAAUAAUAAUAGUAAUGGCUAACAAAUAUACUCAUCAAAAACAUUAAUAAUAGAUGUUAAGAGUGAAGGACAACAUUUGUCCAUGAGGUUCCUGAAAAACGCAACUUUUGUGCAGUAAAAUUAAAUCGACUUCAUUCAAAAAUAAAAAUCAAGAGGAAAGAUUGAAGUUUGUUUACCUCACUUGUAGUUUCAGAAACGACUUCGUGAGGUAGGAAAAAAUGACUGAAAACAACAAGCUACAAACACUGUCCAGAAAAUAGACCUCUGCAUGAACAGCUUUUGUUUUGCCACGAUUUGAGUUAAAGCACCCCAAUUGUGAUGCCUCUAAUCAGUCCACACUUAGAAAUGUUCUAGAAGUUCAUAGGAUUUUGAAUCUUCAAAUUUCGUUUAGAAAUGAGAGAGAUAAUGAAGAAACAUGAAUGCUAGUUCAUGAUGAUUCAUUCCACUAAAUAAAGCCACCAUUAUCUUUUCAAUAAUGGCACCAAACAUUAUCAUGUGCUAGACCCACCCACUAAGCCAUUAUUUAUUGAAUGUGAUCUUAUCACUUCAAUAAUUUAUUUAAUCAAAUUAUUUUGAAUAAAUAAAUAGCUAAAUUAAUUAAUUUUGUCUUUAAUUAAUUAAGGGAAAUUAUCAGUCAUAUACCCUUAAAUGACACCAGUAUCAAACGUGCUACAACACUUUUCAAGUGUAUCACUCGUAUACCCUAAGUUGACAAAACACUUCUGCCGUCCACUAAUCCAUUAACUGCCGUUUGCGAGCGCUGACAUCAUAAGGAUAAUCUAGUCUUUUUUUUAAAAACGACAUGUCAUAUGAUAUAUUAUGAUAAAAUGACAUGUCAUCCCAUUUAUCAGAUAAUUGUUAAUAAUUGCUAUAAAAAAAAAGCUACUUUACAACCGAAUCUACUCCUCCAAAAUUUAACCUAAAUUAUUGAAGAUCUACUCCUCCAAGCUCAAACUUGAAUUUUUUAUGGUAUAAGAUGAAUAUUUUUUAUGGAUUAAUUGUUAAUAAUAUGUACCAUUAAUAAUUCAUAUUUUUUUAAUAAAAAAAUGUAUUGUUAAUAAAAAAAUUAAAAAAAAUUGUGUAUUGAAAAUUUACAUUAAUUUUCAAGGUAAAUUUAUUUUUUUACCUCAUUUUGAGUUUAAAGGGUAAAAUAGUCAUUUUGCUCAAAUUCUGUUAAGUUCUUAACGGUAGUAAACGGAAAGGUGGACGCUAGAACUCUUUUGUCAACUUAGGGUAUACGAGUGAUAUAAGCGAAAAGUGUUGUAGCACGUUUGAUACUGGUGUCAUUUAAGGGUAUAUGACUGAUAAUUUCCCAUUAAUUAAUCCCAUUUUGAUAAAAUCAAAUGGCUAAUUGUGGGCUUAUUUUGUGAUGUGUUCUAAUGCUUUCUCCUAAUCCAUAUCAGGUCCAAUAAAAGCCCAAAAUUCUAAACCCAAAAUUAGUCUAGAAGUCCAUACUCAUUUACGAACCAGAACAUGUCCAAAACGGUCAUUUUAUGUGCUCGAUAUUAUACAUAAUGUUUAAUUGAGGAUUUAUGAAAUUUAUUUUGUUCCUUAAACUAUUUAUGGAACAUCUAAAUUUCUAUCUUAAAUCAUAUUUAAGAUAUAUAUAUAUAUAUAUAUAUAUAUAUAUAUAUAUAUAUAUAUAUAUAUAUAUAUAUUCAUUCUUAAUGAAUUAUAAUAUAAAUACCGAUUUUCCUAAAAUUAGGAAAUUUAACUUCUCAUUUUCUAGUAACUCCUUUUUCAUUUCUAUUAGGUGUGUGAUCUUUUAGGUUCUUUGUUAUAAGGUAGUAGAACUAUUUUAAUGAUAACUCUUUAUUCAUUAAAUGAUGCUAAACUCUUUAGUCAUCAAUUAGAACUUUUCUAAUGAUCUUAAGAUACAUUGGUAAUACACUUUACCAAUAAUGAUCUUAAGGUUUCUACAAGUCAUGAGUGACACCUAGCAGUAUUUCACAACCACCCAAAUAAAAAGAAUUGCUGGAUCUAUAGAACCUAUUCCAUUGUAUCUCUAUGUCUUGGUCUCUUCAUCAUCCAUGUCCAAAGAAAAGCACGGCUAAUGGUUUAGUGUGUUAAGCAUUUAUGCUUUAUCUCAAAAUAAAUCUAAAUGAACUUGGCAUGAAAAUAUAAUUUGAACUCCUUCAAACAUAUUUUGCCUUGGCCAAGGAUUUCUCAUGCCAAUUCAUAUUAUCUCACAGGGACAUCCUUUUUGUAUAUUACAAAGUGAUGAAUUCCAUAUUGGCCAUACACUUGUCUCCAUACAUACCCAACCAUGACAGCUAUUGCUAGAUCUCUUCCUUGAUUAGGAAUUAAUCAUUAUGCUUUCACAUAUCAGAGAUGUCUAUGUACAAGACACAUGUGAUACCUCAGGUCUAAAGACCAUUACUAAACAUAAUGUCUAUCACAAUGUAUAAUAAGCCAUUAACACUCAAAAUCAUAUGGCUUAUUAUAUUUGGUCAAGUUUAGUAAACUCGUUCUCUCAACAAGUACCUAUGUGUUUGACUUGACAUCUCAUAUCAAUGAUAUGAAACUCACCAUUCAUUUUAGUAUCACAUACCAUAAAUGAGUUAUAACACAUACUAGUGUUUAUAGGAAUUUAUCAUAAAUCCACUACUAGGAACUAUUUUAGAAGUAUAGUACAAAGGAUACACGUUUUAUAUUCUUGACAAACUCGAGAAUGUGUUGCUUAACGAUUUUACUUCUUGGACUAUAUUCAUUAAAUUAAUUUAUGAAUGUUGAUAAAUUUGCCAUUUUAUAAAUAUUAAAAUGCUAAUCAUAUACAAUAAUUCCCUAAAAGCAAACACCAUUCGAUUGGCUUUUAGGACAUAUCACUAACAAAGAGUACCAUUAAUCGUUAUCCUAGUAAUAAAACAAUAUCAUCAAAUAUUAACCUUACAUGUAAUCAUGUAUAAGCUCCUAGAACAAUUCAUAGAAAUUUUUGUAACUUCAAAUCAGGGAGUAAAUAAAACCAUAAAGGGUAAUUUAAUUAAUUUCAUAGAAAUUGUAUGAAAUAUUUUAAUUAGAGAUUGUUAUCUUAUAGUUGCCAUAUCCAGAUUUAAAUUGUACUAUUAAUAUUAGUCAAUAAUACAAAUAAUUAUGAGUAAUUGCAAUAAUUAGUACUGCUACUAAUAUAAUUGUUUGAAAAUUAUCCAACGGCUAUAAUGAAAAAUUAUUUUAAUUCUCAUAUUGGUAUUGAUAGAUAUAAUAAGAGUUUGAAUUACUUGACGGUACAUUUUAGAGUUGAUUUCUUCUAAAUACUUGGGAAAAUUUUUUUUUGAUUUGUUAUAGACCUAUCUAUCUAGAUUGCAUUGCGCCACAUUGAGUUAGAUAAAAAAGACACAAACUCCCAAAAAUAAAGAAUUUUCAAAAAAAUUUAUAUUGCAAAAUAUUUGUAGGUUUAUAAUGUCAUAAUAAAAACAUCUAAUUUAUUUAAUAUCAAAAAUAAUUUCCUUGAUUUAUAAUGAAUAUAGUUUACCCUAAUAUAAAUAUUAUUCUCAUUAUUUUAGACGUUACAUAUUUUAAAAAUAUAUUUUUAUAUUGAGAGGUUUUUGAUACUCUCAUAAAUUAAAUGAAGAUUUUAAUAUUUAGUUAAAAGAUGAGGGAACCAAAUUACCUUGAUAUUUGCAAAGUUUUCCAUUUGAUUCGAUGACUGCCUAGAAUGCCAAUAAAUUUAAAAUAAACAAUUGAACUUGUACAUUAAGGGACCCCAAUUUCGUAGAUCAGUCAUCAGUCAUACUCAAGAGUCAAGCUAUAGUCACUCAUCGGUCAUCACGUACUGUGUGUCGUCUGUCAAACCCUCGCUACUGAGUACCAAUUGAAGCUGAUUUUUCACCAAAUCAUUUUGUCUCACUAACAAAAAUGGUUCAUCUUGCAGGGAUUGGAGCUCACAAUCGGUGACUUUCUUACAAAUCAGUAUAUCAAGGCAAGAGAGCUAGGAAGCUCAUCUUUCUCACUCGUUGUAUAUAUGUGCUUACUUUUAAUUUGCUGCAUUUUUAUGUGGGUCUUUGUUGGCGUGGAGCCCAUGUUGGGUCGCUUGGAUUUAAUUUUAAUCAAGGGUUUUGGAGUUGACGAUGGAUGCCACGUGGAUUUAUUGCAUAUCAUUUAAUUUAAUUUUAUAUUUAGGAGGUUGCUUUCUUCAAGAAAUCGGUGUGUAUAUUACAAAAUAUAUUUGUGGAAAAUGAUGCCAUGUGGUCCCAUUCAAACUUUAUUAUAUAUACUAUAACUAUGUGAGAGAUAAUGGUUAUCCUUCUUUACUCUAUGGUCUGGAAAUUGGAAAAUGAAGCUGUGCGGUCCGUUGAAGCUUUGUAGUAGGUGUAGGGAAGGGUUUGAUUGUGUUAUGUUUGUCUGUAGGGAAAGGAACACGUGCUUGUAACUUGAAAGGUUUUGAUGGUGAUCCAUUUGUAAUAUGUUAUAAUAAUAAUAAUAUUAUUAUAACAUUAAUAAUAAUAAUAAUAAUAAUAAUUAUUAUUAUUAUUAUUAUUAUUAUUAUUAUAGCAGUAAUAUUAUAAUCAUUAUCCAUUAUAAUUAAUUAAAUAAAAAUUACUAUAAUAAUAAUAUAAAGAAUGAUAAAAUAGAAAUUUUAUGAUUUAAGUGAGGGUAAUAUGGUCACUUAAGGGAAUGAGAAUCCUAUUCCCACCUCCCUAUGAGAAUAGGAACCCUAAUAAUUAUUUCCAAUUUUACUUCAGACCCACUAUUUUAAUUCUCAUUUCACCUGUUAUUUACUUAUUUUAAUUCCCAUUCCACCUCUUAUUUAAAUAAGUAAGCACAUUAUUUAUUUCUAUGUCUUAAUUCCCAUUCUCAUUCUCAAAAAAAAAUAAAUAAAUAAAUAAACACACCAUUAGCAAAUUGAAGUUGUUUCUAUUGAACUGUUGAAGUGCUCGCAUGCAUUUGCUAUAUAUAUGAUUUUUCAAAUCUUUUAGUUAAGUGGAAAAAAUAAAGAAGUAAGGUGAUUUCAUUGAAAAUAACGGAUAAAAAAUAUAAUUAAAUAUUUAAUUGAUAAUGAGACAAAACUCAUUUAUGUGAUUUAAAGAAAGAAAGAGUAGUGCACAAAUUAGGGGUAAAGAGCGAGUGAAUCAGUCCCACUGAGCGUAAGAUUUUCUCCUGAUCUGAUCAUAUUCUGAGUAAAUAACUCAAUUAUUAAUUGAUAGUUAAUAAAUAAAAAAAUAAAAAAAUUAAAUCUUACCCGUAUACUACCAUUAAAAAAUACAUAAUAAGAGAUUCUUAAAACCUUAAUAUAGCUCAAAUUAGAAAAUGAUCCUUUUCCCUUGAUACGUACUGUUACGGUCAUAUGUACUUAAUUCACAAAAGGGGCACUGAAUUAUUCAAGUUUGCAGGGCAGCUGCAGCUUGUGGAGCCCACACAGUGUUCAAUCUCAUCGAUUUCUCUCAGGAUUUUGACUUGUGGUUUCCAUAAUUCACCAACUUCUUUCUGCUUGCUCUCUCUUUUACAUUGAUCCGGUUUCCCAUGGCAGAGCUCUUACUCUCAGCUUUCUUCCAGGCUUUGUUUGACAAGUUGGCUUCCCGUGAUUUGGCCAACUUUGUCAGUCAACUUCGAGGAGGGGUUGAUUCUGAGCUGAGGAAGUUGGAAAACACUUUGAAGAUGAUUCAGGCUGUGCUGAGGGAUGCAGAGGAGAAGGAAGUGACGAGUGAGACAGUGAAAUUGUGGCUGGACAAUCUCCGAGACUUGGCUUAUGAUGCUGAGGAUGUACUGGACGAGUUUGAUACUGAAGCUUUGAGACAAAAGUCGAUGGCAGAUCAAGCCAGCACAUGCAAAUUGAAGAACCUUGUCCCUUCUUGUUUCAACAUUUCCGGUGGUUUCAACAGUUCCCGUAUGCUUUCCAAGAUAGAAAGUAUCUCAAACCAGUUGGAACAACUCUUUCAAACAAGAGCUCAACUUGGAUUGCAAACGACACCCGGAGGGACAUCAGCUGCUUCACAGGAACAGCAAAGACAAGCCAACGCUACUUCAAGUGUGCCAGAGGAACCUGCUGUCUACGGCAGAGAUGAAGAUAAGGCCAAGAUACUUGAUAUGGUGUUAAGCGAUGGAUCGACUGAUGCCAACUUCCAUGUCAUAUCCAUCAUCGGCAUGCCAGGGGUUGGGAAAACAAAGCUGGCCCAGGAGGUCUACAAUGACGAGGCAGUGGAAAUAUUCGACAUAAAGGCAUGGCUUUGUGUAUCCGACGACUUCAAUGUUUUCAGCAUCUCAAAGACACUUCUCGCGAAAAUCACCUCCAAACCUUUUGAUGUAGUGGAUAUCGACGAGGUGCAGGUUCAAUUGAAAAAGGCCGUGGCUAAGAAAAGGUUCUUGUUGGUGUUAGAUGAUGUUUGGAACGAGAACUACAACUCAUGGUCAGCAUUGAAAGCUCCCUUCAUCACCGCUGCACCCAAAAGUAAGAUGAUCGUGACCACACGCAAUUCCUCCGUUGCGUCAACAAUGGGAGCGGUUGAAAAAUACAAUCUAAAGCCUCUAUCAAAUAAAGAUUGUUGGUCUAUAUUCAUGAUGCACGCUUAUGAGGGUAAGGACAUUAAUGCAGUUUCAAUUUCAGAAUCAUUUCGUAAGAAAGUAGUUGCAAAGUGCGGUGGUUUGCCACUGGCCGCAAAGACUCUGGGUGGUCUUUUACGCUCAAAGGGAGAUGACGAAUGGGAUGAAAUUCUAAACAGCAGUAUAUUAGAUUUACCUCAAAGUGGCAUUCUAUCUGUUUUGAGAUUGAGUUACCACUAUCUUCCAUCUCAUUUGAAGAGAUGCUUCGCUUAUUGUGCAAUACUUCCAAAAGAUUAUGAAAUCGAGGAGAAGGAACUUGUUUCUCUAUGGAUGGCUGAAGGCAUUAUUCAGCAAUCAAGAAACAAUAGCAAGCAGCCGGAAGUUCUGGGUCGUGAGUAUUUUCAGGAUCUAUUGUCGAGGUCAAUACUCCAACCUUCAAGUAGUAAUACCUCUAAAUUUGUCAUGCACGACCUCGUUCAUGAUUUGGCUCGAUGGGUUUCUGGAGACACAAGUUUUAGAUGGGAAGAGGCCAACAAGACAGUCACCCCUGUACCGAAGGUUCGUCAUUUUGCUUAUGAUCUUAGCCUUUAUGUUAGCAAGGGCAAGUUUGAGGUCUUGCACGAAGUUCAGCAUCUCAGAACAUUUCUGCCGUUGUCAAUUUCAAGUUUUCGUGGUUACAGCAUGAACAAUGUGGUAUUUUCUGAUUUGUUACCAAGGUGUGUGAAAUUGAGGGUGUUAUCUUUUACCGGUCAUUAUAUCAACGAGUUUCCUACUAGAUCAAUGAGUGGUUUGAAACAUUUGAGGUAUCUUAACCUUUCUGCCACAUGGAUUAGAAAAUUACCAGAGUCAGUGCUCUGUGAUUAACUUGCAAAUUUUGUUGUUAAGAUGUUGUUUUUACCUGAGGAAGUUACCAUCCAACAUCAGAAAGUUGAUUAAUUUGCGCCGUCUUGAUAUAAUGGGUGCAUGUUUAAUAAAAGAGAUGCCAUUUGGAAUAAAGGAGUUGAAGAAUCUUCAGGUGCUAUCUAAUUUUAUUGUGGGCACGGGUACCAGAUCAUCCGGCUUGAAAGAUCUGAAGAGAUUAACACUUCUCAAUGGAGAACUUUGCAUUUCGAGAUUAGAGAAUGUGAAUGACCCGCGGGAGGCAAAAGAAGCUGCAUUAUGGGAGAAAAAGAAUCUAGAAACAUUGUCCUUACUGUGGAGGUCUAAGUUUGACAGCUCACGAAGAGAGGUUUUAGAAGAAAGUGUACUUGACGUGCUAAAACCUUAUCCAAAUAUCAAGAAACUCACAAUUAUGUGCUACGGUGGGCAAAGAUUUCCUUCUUGGAUAGGAGAUCCAUCUUUCUCCGUGAUAGAGGUCCUUAAAUUAGAAAAUUGUGAAAAUUGCACAUCCUUGCCAUCGCUUGGGCUGUUGAGUUCACUUAAGCAUCUUACAGUUCAAGGUUUGACAAAACUCAAGAGCAUAGGCAUUGAGGUUUAUGGAAAGGAUUGCUCAAAGUCGUUUCAAUCAUUGAAGAUUCUUCGUUUUGAGAAUUUGCCAGAAUGGGAGCAUUGGGACACGGAGUUCAAAGAAAAUGGUCUUGUUGCAGGAUUCUCUAGCCUCCGUCAACUUUCCAUUGUGAAGUGUCCCAAAUUCUCUGGAAAACCACUGGAGCAUCUGCCUUCAUUGGGGAGACAAAGCACAACUUUAGCAUGCUUACCUGAAGAAAUUUUAGGCAAGAAUUCACAACUGGAAAGCUUGUACAUCCAAGAUUGCCAUUCUCUAAGAUUGAUUGCAAGAAGGAAGCUAUCUUCAUCUCUUAAAAGCCUUAAGAUUCGGAGUUGUCAAAAAUUACAGCAGUUGGUGGAUGAUGAAGAAGGUGCUUCUUCUUCUUCAUCAAUGAUGCUGAAACACCUAGAGAUAAGGUAUUGCCCACAGCUGACCAGUUUCUCAUCAGGAACCCAGCUACUUGAGGCGCUUGAAGUCCUCCACGUAAGUAAUUGUCCAUUGCUGGAGUCAAUACCAGGAGGUCUGCACAAUAUUCAGAGCAUUAAUAUAGAAGACUGUGCAAAUGUUGUCUCCUUGGCAGAAAGAGGGCUUCCCAACACCAUUUCAAGUGUUAAAAUAUGGAGUUGUGAGAAGCUUGAAGCCCUGCCCAAUAACAUGCACAAACUACACUCACUUCAAUUUUUAGAGGUAAGGCGGUGUCCAAGUCUUGUUUCCUUGGCAGAAAGAGGGCUUCCCAUCACCAUUUCAAGGGUUUUCAUUGAAGAUUGUGAGAAACUUAAAGCUCUACCUGACAACAUCCACAAAUUGAAAUCUCUUCAAUUUUUAGAGAUAAGGCGAUGUCCAAGUAUUGUAUCAUUUCCAGAAGAAGGUUUUCCCGCCAGUCUGAAAUCACUUGUUAUUGGAGGAGAUGUGAAAAUGUAUGAGACACUCAUCCAGUGGGGGUUGCACAAGCUUACCUCUCUUAGACGCCUCUUGAUUGCUGAAGAAUGUCAUGAAGCAGAGUGUUUUCCAGACGAGGAGAUUGGAAUGACGUUGCCCACCUCUCUAAUUGAGUUGCAGCUUUGGGGACUGUCAAAAUUGAAAUUGCUAUCUUCCACGGGUUUUCAGUGCCUCACCUCUCUUGAAUAUCUGUGUAUCCAGAAUUGCCUAAAUCUCACAUCCUUUCCAGAGGUGGGCCUUCCAUCCUCACUCUUGGAACUAAAAUUAAUAAUGUGUCCAAUGCUUGAAAAAGAGUGCAAAAGGAAUAAAGGAAAAGAAUGGUCCAAGAUAGCCAACAUCCCUCGUGUUGUGAUAGAAGGAGAAAUCAUUUAUACAGUGGAGUAGUUUUUAUUAAUCAUUCCAUCUCUUAUCAUACGCAACAAUCAAGGUCAGUUGAUUUCUAUAAUCCACUAUAACAAGCUCUUUUGAUUCUGCACUUGUAUCAUUAAUCGACCACCUUACCUAAAUUGAAAAUGCUUAUCUCUUUUUAUUUUUAUUUUCAUUUUUAUUUUCUGUUUUCUUAUUCUUCAGAAUGAUGCUAGUUGACAGUUUCAAAUGACAAAUGCCUUGGGAGUAGAAAUAAUUUUUUUAACUCGUGAUGGUGAGUGAGUAGUAAUCAAAGAAAUUCUUUCAGCUUAGUAAAAAUAAUAAAUGGUACAUGCUGUUAUGGAUUAUAUACGAUACAUUCUAAGGUUCCUUAUGUCUGCUUGUUUUCAGGUGAUGAAUCUAUUUUGUUACAGAAUUGGAUUGAAAGUAAGCUGGGUAAUAAGUACACAAGGGCGUUAAUUUUUUGGAUUUCCUCAUGGAGUAUGGAUCUUUGGUGCAAGCAUUUGGGAUAAACGAAGUGUCAAAAGCAAUUUCAACUUAUUGAUUUUUCUACUGCUGUGGUUAUGAUUGAAAGGUAGUCAAAAGAAAUUUGCAAACUUAUAUAUAGUUGCAGAUUUUGGUAAUGCUUUUUUUUUUUUUUUGGCCAUUUUUGGUCAUAGACAUUUAGAUAUUUUAGAUCCCGAAUUUUAACAUUAAUUUCAUGCCAUUUUUACUUCAGAGGGAAUUGAGUUGCAAUUUUAAACUAGAAUCGGAGUAUGUCAUUUUGGAGCUGAGCAUAUACUUGACGAAUGAUUAUAUGAACUAAAGAAAUUUGUUGUGGUGAGUGGUAACUAAAGAAAUUUGUUUGCUUAAGUCAAAUUUCAUUUUGGUGUUCUGGAUAUACAUGCUUAAGCUCCUCUUAUUUAUUUCAGGUGAUGAAUUCAUUUUCUUCUUCAAAUAAGGGAAGAAAAGUCGGAAAGGUUUAAUCUGAUCUUGAAGUUAACAGAUUGAUGUUAAUUGUACAACUAGAAUGGGCUCUCUUGUCCUGCUGUAUGAUAUCAAAUUUUCCAAUAAGAUGGCAUUUGUGUACUUAUUCCUUCUCCCCGCACCAUUUUCUUUCUUUCUGGUGAAGAGUGUCUACUUAAUAAGUCUUUGUUUUCUUCAGGAUUGCAUGAAUGCCAAGAAUGGAGUGAUUAAAUAAGUGCUGCUGCGGCUUGCUUUUCCUUCUUUGGUAUUGAAGGUAACUCAAUUCGGCAGGUGAAGACAGCAGCAACCCAGUAGAUAGAUGCAAUUUAAGGAUUGUGUACCUCAAUUAUACCUUGAUAUUAUUGAUAACAUGUUAAUUAUAUUUCAGUUCUGCAAUUUUAAGGAAAAUUGAGUUGUCGGCACAGUGCGCAGCAACAGUUGUUCAAACUUCGAACAGUCGGUUUCUGCAGGUAAUUAGCUCUUUUUUCUUUUUUCUUUUUUUUUUGGGUUAUUAAUUACAUUUUAAGGGUUAUUAAUUACAUUUUAAUUAAGUUGAUUUUAGGACCUUUAAAGAUUCAAUUUUUCAUUUUCUUUUUCUUCAAAGGGAAGCAAGUGGACUGUAUCAAACAUACCUGAUAAAUGAAGUAUUCAUGUCUGAUUUAAAAGUUAUUAGCUUUUUCAUCCACUUGAUAGUAACUAAAUGAGUUUUUGAGCUCAGUGGCAUUAAUUGUAAUAAUUGAUGUUUUAGAUAUAUUAAACAUGCCAAGUUCCAUUGUAAAUAUUAUUGAUUAAAUCUUAAGCUUCUAGUUUUUGCUAAAGAUUCAUAGAUAUAAGAUAUUGUACUGCUUUGUUCUGUUGCAGAGUAAUCGAUGAUAAUUUACUGAUAAAGAAUUUGGUGAAAGCCAACAACUCAAAAUGUUUAAGUGAGGGAAUGAUGAGAUCAUGUGAGCAAAACCUGGGUAUCAGCAUCUUAAUGGCGAUAUGGAAAUCCUUGUUGAGGCAAAACUACAGUUGAAUCAGUUGAAGUUCAUCUGAUGAGGUGCACAAUCUCACAUCUCUCAAGUAAAUGCUGUCCUACAGUCCUAGAUAUUGAAGCUUUUCGCAUUUCAACAACUUUUUGCAAGACAGGUGAGGAUGGUCGGAAAACUAAAAAUCUGGAUCACCAGCUAACUUCUAGUCAUUGCCACCCUUGCAUGUUUCUGGAUUUGAUCAAACCAAAAAGACUUUUGAAGUUGUUAUUUUAUGUCUUUAUAAAACUAUAAUGACCAAGCCGCCAGUGUAACAUUCCUGAAAGAAUAUUGUGAUUGCUUCAGAAUAUGCUCGGUGCAUAACAGAGACAUCCUCGUAGAAAAGCAUACAUAGCUAAUAACCAGGUAAAUAUUCCUUCAUUCUUGCCAGGUAACUUCUAUUCCUAGGUUUCCAGAUAAUUUACAUUUCAGAAAUUGUUCCUAGUUGAAGAAUCUGAUUUACAUUUUGUUUUCCAGAAUAUGUACAUUUUACAAUAUGAUGUGCUUUAGUUGCAUUAUCUGGGGCACCUUUCGAAUUACACUUGCCUUUUUCUUUGUUUGCAUGUGAUUUGACUUGAAGGAUGCCAACAUGGCUAGAUAUUUGAAGAAACACCAAAAGAGGCUUAAUGCCAGGGGAACUUGCUCGGGCACUUUUGCUCCCAAGCCUUUAAUCCCACAAACAAAUUCAGGGAGUGAAUGCAUGCCAUUCAUUUGUGGUCCCAAAAACAGGUUGAUACCUGGCCGCUGGUACUGAACAUCUCUGCAAUUUGGAAGCAGGGUAACAAUUGUGUUGACACACAAGCUUCAAACUGUUAAAGCUAUACCCUUCUUGCUUCAGGAAUCCAUGUUGUAUGUCUCAAAUUCUGAAAGCAAAUGAGAAUUACUGCUUUCUCUAAGGCACCAUUCCAAGAUCUGCUUUUGUAUUCAUUCAAUCAGAUCAAUCAUAUGGAUUGUCAACUUUCAAGGAUACGAUGAAUUAUGAGUGAACAGAGGACUUGGAGGAAGAAUCAUUAAGAACAGAGCAAAAACUGAGAAGCAGAUAAGAGGAAGUUGGCUAUCAUUGAAGAAGAGGCAGCUUACAUUGCUUUAGUUAUUGAUGAUAACCGUCAAACAUGCUCUUGGUUUGUAUGUUAACAUGAUUGGAGUAUGAGAGAAACUACAUUUCUCUAAUUUGUUUGACUUCAUUGAUUUUUUUUCCCCUCUCACUUUAUCUUCAAAUCAAAAUCUCAUCUUUGAUCAAACUUGAUCACAAAAUAUUAUUAAUGUUUGAUACUACUUGUCAAGAAAUUGCUAAAAUGUUUAUUCACUGCGAAUACUGUUGAACCAAGAUCAGUAAAUGACCAAUCUUGGUGCCACAAGAUCUGACUAAACUCUUUGAUUAUUCACCAAGGGGCAAAAGAAAUUAACAAUUGAAACAAACAGAAACAGAAUCAAAGAAAUCACAAAUAAAGCACACACACAGCAAUUACAGAGGAUUCAGCCAAAGAUGGCCAGCGUCCUCUUGAACAAGAACAAAUUACAACGGUGAAGGAAUUUUCACAGUCUACAGAAUGAACCCAGCUCCAGUCAAUGGAUAUGGAAAGGUCCCCCACUUACCAGACAGAUCCUUCCCGCUUCUUGUAACGGCCAUAACGCCUUUUCAUUCAGGUGAUGACACACGUGCAACGCAGGUGUACUAAAAAUAUUUUCUUUGGUGGGUGAUUGCACGUGCCUCGCAGGUGAGUCACUCAACGCACACCGCUGACAUGAUCGAAGUCGUACGCAUCAUGUAAAAUAAAGCCGACAUGGCAUCCAUAAGGAAACGACGGCACAGUGACUCUUAUUUUCAUAAACCGACUUUGUUGUCUGCUAUUUAUUUCUGAUUCAAUAGCCUGUCCCGUUUAUUCGUCCGAAAAAUGGAUGUUUGCCACAGCAAAAAUUUUCCAAUUAAUUAAUGAAAUAAAAUAUUGACUAAUUUUCUUUUUCUUUUUUAACAAACAAUUAGUAAUACUAGCAAUUCCAUGUGACGACUGGAAGGAGUUAAUUGUCCUGCUAUUAAUCGGAAUUUUUUGAGUCCAGAGACUUUACUUUCCUUGGAGAAAAAUUGCACCAUGCGUCCAAUCACUUGGCAAAAUUCAACGUGUAACGCCUUUGAAUUUUUUUUUCCCUCUCUUUAUUAAUUAUUAUGGUAGUUCUUGCAUAGAUAAUAAGAAUUUAUUGUUUCUUUUGAUUGGUUUAUUCAAGAAAUUCAGAGAAUGAUUCUAGGCUUUUCCAAGUUACUAGAAUUAUUUAGAAUUUUCUAGCGUUAGAUUUAUUAAUUACACAAGACAUGUGAACCUACAUUAUUACUUGCAUUUGUUAUGCAUUUAUUAUUUAUAUUUUUCAUAAAAGCCUAUAUUUAUUUAAAGAUGCAAACAUUCAUAAUUACAUUUAUUUAAACUUUUUACACAUUUAUUGUUGCUUUCCUAAAGUUUCUUUAUUCAAGUUUACUUUAAAUUUAUUAAAGUUUACUUUAUAUAUAUGAUUACACUUAUUAAAGUUUACUUUAUAUUUAUUAUUGUUUUACUAAAAUUUUUUUAAUAAAGUUUAUUUUAAUUUAUUAUUACACUUAUUAAAGUUUGCUUUGAUUAUACUUAUUAAAAAUUUACUUUAUAUUUGUUCUUUCUUGAAUAAAAUUGCUUUGUUAAAGUUUACUUUAUAUGUAUAAUUGCAUUUAUUAUUGUUUGCUUUAAGUUUGUUGAAUCUUGAAAACGUGGACUUAGAGAAGGAAGCAUAAUUAUUCAACUUCUUUCAAUUGUUCAUCUUCAUUCUCUCUCAAUUCCAAAAAUCUAAAUUCUAGAUCUCUCACUGCAACCUUCUCCAAAUCUUCAAUAGAGUUAGAGAUCUUAAUUAAUUUGGAAGCUUCUUGAUUUGGUGAAUCUUUAUUUGCUUAUGUUUUUAAAGACCAAAUUCACAAAAUUAUUUAUACCAUAAAAUGAACUCAAAAAAUUCUGAAUUUUUAAACAGAAGUUAAUAUAUCUGUCUAAUAUUUCCAGUUUUAAUUUCAUAAUUUUCUGAUUAGUACAUAAUUUCAAAAAAAUCUCGGAAUCAAUACUGUCACUACAAGAAAAAGUGCCUACUAUGACAGGCAAAAACUGUCAUAGUAGGGGGUGGAUGACGGUUGUUCAUACCGUCAUUGUAGCCACCAUCAAGAAUUGAUGACAGAACAAUACCAGUUAUAAUCUGUGAUAGGUAUUACCAGUCACAUAAUUGUUAUAACUUUAUUUAGAGGGGAAUAUAAUAAAUUUGAAUUUGGCUCUUUUUUAAAAAAAUUUGCGCGCCAUAUUUUGAAUUUUUGGUGGGAAAAUUAAAUUUGGCGCGAAAUGCAAAUUAUAAUUAAAUGAAUUUUUUCAAUUAAAUCAAAAAUUGAAAUUAUAAUUAAUAAAAAAUGGGUAUUUUGUUUGCACCAUGAAAUUAUUAUCAUUUUAAUAACAAUCCUGCAAUUGAUUUAUUAGAAAUUAAUAUUUCAUAAAUUAGCUAAUUAAUUAGAUUAUUAAAAUUAAUAUUGCAAUUAAAAAUUCACUGACAAAGAAAAUGAAAUGGAUAACAUUGACUAAGAUUUCAUAAUUGUCAGCAAACAUAAUUUAAUCAAAUUCGAGAGUGACAAGUCCAACAUAAAUAGAAGAAGAGUAUUGUAACAACCUAAAAACUAAAUUCCAGCAACAUGUACAACACAAAUGAACCAUGAUCAGUUCAAUUCCAAUAGCAUAAGGAAGCCAACAAGAGAGUCAUUUCUACCAACAUGAACAAAGGCAACAACAUAGUUCAUUUCCAGCAACAUUCCAGCAACACAAGAGGAGCCAAAAAUACUGAUCAGACAAGGCCAGCAGUUCCCAAACGUGAAAAUCCAACCUAAGAACAACUGAAAUGUGUAAAAUUGCAUCAAUAUCCAGGAGCUAUUUUCCAAACAAAGAAAAAAACUAGCCAACUCUAGCAGUACCCACCAUCUUCAUCAUAAUCCAACAUAGAAGUAUAAUAAGCUAGAUAACUGCCCAAGUAAAAUAUAGGUAGUAAAUUAAUUUAUUUCAUCAAUGAACUCACAAUGACAACAUAAUAGGUAAGUGUUACCUCACAUAACAGCAAGUACUCCAGAAAAACUGAAAUUAUUUGUGCAACCAAUGACACUCCACUAUUUUAAGUAACUCUAUUUAAGUCUCGAUCUCUUGUAACAAAGUGAAAACCAUUUAUGUCAUAACCAGGAUGUUGGAAAAUAUAAGGACGAGGCCCUUGGGAUAACCAACGGAUUGUUUGAGUAACGACAUGACCGUUCUCAAUCAACAUAUUUACCUAUUAUUAAUCGACAGGAAUAUAAUGUUAAACAAGCACAAACCGAAACAGAAAGGAAAAAAAUGAAUUAAUUAAACUAAUGUUAUCAAAACCUUAUCUGUUAGCCAAUCUGCAAAUGUUCGGUUGUGUUCAUCUUGCAACCACUUCUCAUUUUUUUCGUGGAUGGCAAAGUUGUAAGCAAUCCUCAUGCUCUCUAAAAAUCAGUUAAAAAGACAAAAUUUUCAGGUUCUAAACUACCAAAACUUGACAAAUAUAAAGCUAAAAUAAUACAAGUUAGAUAACAUCACCUUAUAUAAGGCUGAACUUCCUCAGUGUUAUGCAAAACAUACAAGUGUGCUUGAUCUAAUAAAGUUCGAUCAACUUCCACCAUUUGUCCACCACUCAUGGGCUUGUCAAUUUCUAAAUUCUGCACAUGUCCAGGUGGAACCCCAAUUGUGGGCAUGUUUUCCAAGUAUUCUGCACAAAAUUCUAAUGCUUCCUCAGCAAUAUAACUCUUCGCUAUGCAACCCUUAGGACGGUUACGGUUUCGAACAUAGCCUUUUAGAGUUUUCAUGUAUCGCUCAAAAGAAUACAUCCACCGAAAAUAUACGGGGCCACAUUGUCUAACUUCACUCACUAAGUGAAUAAUAAGAUGAACCAUUAUGUCAAAAAAAGAAGGGGAAAAACAUUUUUCAAGCAAGCACAAAAUCUCUACGAUGUUUUUCUCCAAUUCAUCUAGCAUUGUCACGUCAAUCACAGUCGCACACAAUGAAUUAAAGAAGAAAAAGAACCUAAUGAUAGCUUCUUUGACAUGUUUGGGCAGCAUACACCUUAUGGCAAUUGGAAAAAGUUGUUGCAUAAGAACAUGACAGUCAUGGGACUUAAGACCCUGGAGUUCAAAGUCCUUUUUUGACAUAAAAUUCCUAAUAUUUGAAGAGUAUCUAGUAGGAACCUUGAUACUUUUCAAAACUGCACAGAAUCUUGCUUUUUCCUCCUUAGUUAAGGUGUGGCAAGCAGGAGGAAGCCAUGUACGAUUAUUGUUUCCUUUAACUUGUGGUGCUAAUUUGGGCCUAUUUUUCAUUUCCAAGAGAUCCAUCCUCGACUUCAGUCCAUCUUUGGACUUUCCAGGAAUAUGCAGCAGUGUACCGUAGAUAUUCUCACACACAUUCUUUUCAAUGUGCAUAACAUUUAAUUGAUGCCACACAAGCAAGUGCUUCCAAUACUCUAAAUUAUAAAAUAUGGAUUUCUUCUUCCACCACACGAGAUCAUCAUUGUUCUCACUUUUACGCUUUUUACUAUUGCUUUUCCCCCAUCUAUUAUCAAUAGAGUCGACCAGCUGGAAAAUUUACUCCCCGUUUAAUGGUUUUAGAGGGGUUUCAUCACACACACUAUUAUCAAAGGCUUUUGCUUGGAACCGAAAUUUAUGACCAUGAGGAAGCCAAAGCUGAUGCCCAAUGUAUACAUUUUUUCCACUGUAUUUAAGUCUACAUUUUGGUGUUUCUACACCACAAUAUGGGCAGGCAUAAUAUCAUUUAACAGUACAUCCCGCUAAAUUUUCGUAUGUCGGGAAGUCAUUUAUUGUCCAUAGUAAUACAGCCCGCAAAUUAAAGUACUCAUUUUUGUACGCAUCAUAUGCCUCCACCCCAACAUCCCAUAAAGUUUGCAAAUCCUCAAUAAGAGGUUGCAAAUACACAUCAAUGUCUAAACCCGGUUGUUGAGGACCAGAAAUCAAGAGGGACAACAUCAUGAAUUUUCGUUUCAUGCACAACCAUGGUGGAAGAUUAUAAGUAAUAAGAAUUAUUGGCCAGCAACUAUAUGUACUACUAAGAGAGCAAUGGGGAUUGAUUCCAUCAGCUGAUAGAGUUAGGCGAAGGUUUCUAGGAUUGGAUGCAAAGAUCGGCCAUUUCUCAUCUACUAACUUCCAAGAUGAUGAGUCAACCGGAUGUCAGAGUUUACCAUCAACCAUCCUCUCAUUUCCAUGCCAAGUCAAGUCCCUAGCAGUUUCAGAUGACUGAAACAUUCGCUUAAACCCAGGUAUAGGAGGAAAAUCCCAUAAAGUUUUUGGGGGAACCCCUUUCCUAUAUUGGUCUACAGUACCAUCAUUUUUCUUCCAUCUACAUAACCCACAAGUAGGACAUUCAAAAAGACCUUUAUAUUCUUUUUUGUAGAGUACGCAAUCGUUUGUGCAAGCAUGAAUUUUAACAUAUUCUAAGCCCAAAGCUGACAUUGUCUUUUUGGCCUUAUACAUAGAGGUUGGAAUUUCAUUAUUUUUAGGGAAAGCAUCUGCUAAAACACUCAACAAUUAAGAAACGCUACUGUCAGACCACCCAAAUCUACCCUUCACAUUGAACAAUUUCACUAAAAAAGAUAACUUAGUAAAUUUUGUGCAUCCUAGGUAUAAGGGUUUCUCAGCUUGUUCUAGCAACUCUUUGAAUGCCUUAGGGUCCCCACAACAACCCUUAUAAGCAUCAUUAACCAUUUCUAACUCAUUACCAUUGUCAAACUCUAUAUUUUGUUGCUGAAAAUGGUUUUCUCUUUGAGGAGAAGGACUCUUACGAACCUUUUCCUCGUGCCAAAACCAAUUGUCGUAUUUCACAUCAAAACCAUGCAUAUAUAAAUGAUCUUUUACAGUUGUAGGUAUUUCAAAUGAUAAAUUCUCUACUGCCUCCAGCAUUUUUUAUAACAAAAUUUAUAAAUUUCUGGACACCCUCUUCAUAUUCUGUCGACAGUCGAUUACAUUGAAUCUAAGAUUUAUCCAUUUCUGGCUUAUAAUUAAUGUUCCUGACAUAUACAUAAAACAAAGAAAGAAUGUACAUACUUAGAAUAUUUGUCUAAUGUUACAGCACCAUGUGAAAUAAACAAAGUUAAACCUACAUGAGGCCUUUCAAAUUAAACACAAUUUGGCCCAUAUAGUUUUCUCUUUUAUAUUAAAGGAACAACCUACUUUAUGGAAAAGCAUGGUCAUGGUCCAUAAACAAAUUUCAAAAUUACAAAUAUAGCAACCAAGAAAGCUGAUAAACUAAAUUUCAUACUUUUCAAAAGUUCACUCUCCUAUUAUACUAUAAAUAUAAUAAAUAAGAUAGACCCCACAACAAACACAUUACAUAGCAUCAUAAUUAUAAAGUUAAAGAUAUGUAAAUUUUAAGCAAGUGUAUAACAACUUCAAAAAGUCAAAUAAUAGAGGAUAAGAAAUGGAACUUACCAGAUUAAACACAACAAUCUGCUGCUAUAUCCAAUUCCAGGUACAAAUCCAGCAACAAUAUUUAUUGCUAAAAUAUAUUUUGAAUGAUCAGCUGAUAGAAUUCCAAAACUUGGAUUCAAGAGGGCUAAAACAGUACUAAUAAAUUACAUUAAUCAUAUGAGUAAGCCUAAGAAGAAAUAAUAAACUACAAUUUCAAAUAAUAUACAUCCGUAGAACAAAAAUGAAAGCAAACACAAAGAAAAGCUUCAAGUACCUUAAUACAAUGCCUUCAACAAAUCAAGAACAUCGAACUGUCACGUUUAUGCAGCAAUCACAACUAUUUAUAUUUGACACGCAAAUGUUACGACUCAAGACAACAACAGUAACAACAAUACCACCAGAUGCAAAAUAGCUACAACACCACAUGCAUAGGUAGAUGACAAUGAGAGGUGAGAAUCCCUCAAUUUUACAUAACAGAAUCAGUUACUAAGAAUCCCUCCUCAGGCUUUGUUAUAGACAUUUCAGGCCAAUAUUUAAAGAAUCAACUAUUAGAACAUAAAGAUAUAUAAGUUGCAGAUUAUCACCAUCUUCAUAAACUAACACUCAUUUAACUUAACGAAGCUUCAAUAUCAGAAAUAGCUAGAAAAAAAAAUUCACACACAAACACAUGAAUAUAAAUCAGAAUUACCUAGAAUAAAAAAAAAUUAACAACAUUAUGCAAUGCAUGAUUACAACUCAAAACAGAACUCAAAAUUAACAAUAUUAUAUCUUCCUGGGAAAUUAUUUAGUAAAUUAAUUAUCGAAAUAUAUGCAAUAUAUGCAAUACAUGCAAAUACAUUUCAAUUUUUUACAAAUUAUUUACUACUUUACAUAAAAGUUGAAUAAAUAGUCAAAAUUAAAUACAUGCAAAUGCAGCAAUGACUCACUAGUGGGUGUGAAGCUUCAAUUCACCGCCAAGCCUAGGGUUUCUUUCACGGUAAGCGAUUGGGUUUCUUUCAGUCAAUAAAAGUACCCUAGAUGUUGUUCUCAUUCCAAUUUGGGUUUCGAUUAGCACUGACUUCAUCCCAACAAAGAGAGACGGUUCAGUGACAACCGCAGCAAUGAGAGACGAUUCAGUGAAACAACCAGAACGAUUUUGAAACGAUGGGUGUUUGGGUGUCGUUAGUUUGCUAUGGCCGGCCUUUGAGGGUUUGCUGCAAGUGUGCUAAUCGAUUUUGAGAUUCCACAAUAAUGCUUGCAAAUUUUCUGAAAACUUGGAAAAAAAAUUCCUUCUUACAAAACACAACGUUUUAUUAAUUUUUUUUUGUUAUUUACAUUUCUAUUUUCCUCAAACACUUGCAAAACAUACAACUGAGACGACAUCGUUUCACUUCUUUUUUAAAAAUAUAAUAUUUUUAAAAAUUAAGUCAAACCCGCACAAUUAAAGUCAACAUAAAAAAUCAGUCUUUCAUUAUUGAUAGCCAAAUAAUUUAUCACUAGUCUAUCAUAGUUUCUUGAUACAUGAUAUUUAUAUCACCAAUAAUCAUAAUUUCUUGAUAAACGAUAUUUCUAUCACAGCUAUGUCAUAAGUGUAUGACAGAAAGUAAAUCUAUCACGAUUCUAUUGUUGUAGUCCUCCAGACCAAAAAUGGUCACACAGAGAACUGUCAUAGUAGGUACUUUUUCUUGUAGUGUCUGUUAAGGCAAUGUGAGACAAUUUUGAGACUAUCAAGACACAAAUAGUUUUGAAAAUGUUUUGGGUAUCGGAUGCUUUUGAAAAUUUUAUGGGAGAUAUCUAUGGAUGUCUAGAACAGAUCUGCAUGAUAUCGUAUCGUUUUGAUUAUUAGAUUAAGAGUUAAAAUCUAGAGAAUCAUAUUUGUACCGGCCUGAAUUAGAAACUCAGUUCUCGGAAUAAGUUAUUAUUAAUUAUGUCUUAUAUCUUUUUAAGGUGUUGGAGAUAUUUAAGGAUGUUAAAAGCUUAGAGGUGUGUUUCAAUUUUAUCUUAUCGAGGUAAGUAACUCUAUUCCUAGUGUACUAGAUAUGUGUAAUAAUUUUGAUAUUUUAAUAUUACUACAGGUACAUAUUUUUCUUAGUUCUUUGUAACCAAAUUAAUUUAUGUAAAUGUUUUCAAAUCUGAAAAAUUAUAUUACUUUUAUGGUUUUAACAAAUAUUAUAAAUGUUUUUAAAUGUGUAAUUUAUUCUUGUUAAAUAAUUAUAUUUUUGAAAUUGUCUAUAAAAUGUUAGAAUGGAAAUUGUUCUGCAAGCCUAAAUCUUUGUUAUGAUCUUUUAUAAAUCCAAUAUAAAUAUUUUAUUCACGUAUUUGAUUAAGAUUAUCUAUGAAUUAUGCGGGGCCCACCUCUUGAGAUUGUAUGGGGCCCCCUCUCGAGGGCUAAAAUGCCACGAAGUGCUACGUAUAGUGCAAAGUGUCACGUGUAAUUUGCUACAAAUGAAAAAUGAAUUUAAAUAUUUUGGCUCAUUGUCUGUAAUCAUUCCAAUUCUAAUUCUGAUUGUAUUAUACGAUAUAGAUAUAUUUAUGUUAUGUACCAGUACUAGGUUUCUGUUCUGAGUGUGCACACGAUAUUCUGAUUCUGGCCGGGUCAUUAGGACUAUAGGUGACACUAUGUGACAUGAGCUAACUUUUUGUUUCCUGUGAAUGUGUUAUAUGAUUUGCUUUCGAAAGUGACUAUGCUUUUGAAAUUAUGAAUUAUUAUGAAUUUAUGUAUUUUAUUGUGAUGUCAUUUAUGAAAUUUAUGAAUUAUGAUAUAUAUAUUUUUUUUUAAAGAAGGCUUGAAAUACUAUUGGUAUUGAUAGGCCUAGUGAAUUAGGAAUGGUUUUACUUACAGAGUUGACGGCUCACCUCUCGUCAUUACUUUUUACAGAUUAAGUGACUUGUUCAGAAGUGUGGUUAUCUUUGGUGCUAGAGAUUUAUUUACUUGCAAAGUUAAAUAAAAGAAGGAUGAAUUUCUUUAGCCUUUAAGUUUGUUGGUCUUUUGAAUUUGUAUUUGGAGAGUUUUGAGACAUUUGUUACUUUUAUGACUUGUGAGAAAAUGUCAAGUAUCUGAUUUGGUAAUUGUUGAUCUGUUUAAUAAAAUUUAAGGUAUUUCAGUUCGUGAAUUUGUGUAAGGAUUUUUGAUUUAUUAGUAAUGUCCUACUAUCACGUGUUCCGCACGUGAUAAUUUUGGGGUGUUACAGUUGUGGUAUCAGAGCCUAGGUUAGGAUUCUAUAGACUUCCUUUUAAGGUCUAACCGAAUUGUCUAAUAGAAUUAUCUACAUUUGUUUUGUAGACAUGAAGAGGAACAUUAUGGAUAUGAAAUGUGCUAGGAUUAAAAGAUGUUGAGAAAUUGACAGAACUGAACAGUUUAUCUUAGGUGGAGUUCUUGUCAAAGAUCUUCGAAGACUUCAUAAGCAGCGAAUGGAUGAUAGACUAGGACGGACUAGAAUUGUAUACAGAGAUACUUCUCCAAGACCAAGAGCUUCAAAGAAGAAAUUCAAUGAGGCUAUACGAGGACAACAUGUUUAUGGCAAGGGAGCUAACAAGAAUAAACUUGUAGUACAUCGCCUAUUCUGGACAAGACCUCAAUUUAAGCCUUGCUAUAACAAAGGAUGGGUUUCUCCAUGCCGAGAUAAACUACCUCAUGAAACUCUUAAGGAAAAUAAGAUAACUAGAGUCAGGACUGAGGAAAGAAAAGUAGAAUUAGAUCAUUUCCUUAUCCGGUUGAGUAAACCUAUGGACUUUGUGGUUGUGGAAACAAGGCACGAGACUCUGUAGACUUUAUUGAGGUUAAUGGAGAGAAUAGAUCUUUAAGACAAGGAGUAAUCGUUUAUAAUUAGUAAUGCUAUUUUUGUCUUUUUGAUUUUCUAGUUGCUUUUGACUUUGUAAUAACUUCUUGAUAUAUGAUUUUUGAUAUUAACGUAGAAUGAAAUAUCUGGUUUCUCUUGUUGUCAAUCUCAAAAUUAUUUUUUAGUUUUUGUACUUUUUUAGUACUCUGCUCAUUAGUAUGUCCUUUAUAAUGACAUACUUCUUUUGUCUAAGUUACUUAUUUUCUAGUAUAUUAUACUUUCUGAUUUUAGUUGAAGAUGUCACGUAGGGGAGGUGUUAAGAAUGCCUCUAGCUCGAGAAAUGCUUUAAGUGUCGCUGAUGACACUGACCCAACCUUACGUGAGAUGGCUAAUGAAGGUAAUCCUAUGAUGCGGGCAAUGAUUAGGCUGAUGGAACAGCAGAGCAAGCUGAUUCAUGAUAUGACUGGAAGUAGAGUUGGGACACAAAGGAAUGUGCCAGCUGUGAGGCAACGUUGUGAAAGAGACCAAGGAGCUAUAGUGAACCUAGAGCGAUUUAAAAAAUUAGGACCACCUACCUUUCAAGGAACUACCGAUCCUAUGGUCGUAGAGGCAUGGCUAAAACAGAUGGAGAAGAUAUUUGUGGAUAUGGGUUGUAAUGAUUAUCAUAGGGUGAUUUUGGCCUCAUUUGUCCUUCAGAGUAAGGCAGACCACUGGUGGGAUAUAAAAGCCUGUCUUUUGAGGACUGGGUUAAGAGAUGCGCCUAUCACUUAGGAGUUGUUUUUGGAGGCUUUUCAAGAAAAGUAUUUUCCUGAACGGGUUUAGCAUCAAAUGGAGGCCGACUUUCUAAAAUUAACUCAGGGAAUGAAAUCUGUCGCUGAGUAUGAGGAACAGUUUACGGCCCUAUCUCGUUUUGAUCCUACUUUGGUUGCAAAUGAGGGUAGCAAGUGUAGGAAAUUCCUAGAGGGAUUAUGUACAAAUAUCAAGGGGCGAUUGACUAUCCUUAAGCUUAAUAAUUAUGCUGAUUUGGUGGAUCGAGCCAUUCUUGUUGAGAAAGAUAUUUUUGAAGCUCAAGCCACAAGAGACCAAAGGAAUAAAAAAAUCGACAAGGCAGACAACGAGGUGGAGGUUCCUAUGGUCAAAACAAUGGGUAUCAAAAGCACGUUGGCGGAGGAAACAAAGAGAGUAACAAGGGUGUUCAUGACACCACUGCUUAGAAGAACUUUCCCACUUGUCUACAUUGUGGGAAGAGGCACCUUGGUGAAUUUUAUUGGAAAAUUGGAGCCUGUUUUGCUUGUGGAGAAGCUGGACACAUACUUAAAGACUGCCUAAAGAGACGUAGUGAAACUAUGAAAGCACAUACUGAUGAAGGACAGAGGAAGAAACCAAAGGUGCAAGAUCAUGUCUUUGCUUUAACCGAGAAAGAUGUUGAAUUUCUAAUGAUGUAAUAUCAGGUACAUUGUCCUUAUUCCCUAGAGAAGCUAAAGUUCUUUUUGAUCUUGGUGUUAUACAUUCAUUUAUAUCUUGUGUUUUCACUCGUUAUGCUGAUGUGCCUACCCAAUCACUAGAUCUUCAUUUGUCAAUUAGUACUCCUAUGGGUGAUUACAUGAUAAUAGAUCGUGUUUACAAUCUUGUAGGAUCAGCUUAUGUGAUAGGAAAUUUCUAGUAGAUCUCUUACCUCUGGAGAUGUAUGAUUUUGAUUUGAUAUUAGGGAUGGAUUGGUUAUGACCUUAUCAUGUUUCAGUUGAUUGUUUCGCUAAGGAGAUUAUUUUUCGGUUACCGGGAGAGGAAGAAUUUCAUUUCCAAGGUAAUCGAAAGAGUCAUGAGGGCUUAAUUUCAAUAGUUAAGGCAGAGAAAAUGCUAAAGAAAAGGUAUGAAGGGUUUUUAGCUUAUGUAGGCACUAAUCUUUCUAGUGAGGUAUGCCUUAGAGACAUACAUGUUGUACGUGAGUUUGUUGAUGUAUUUCCUGAAGAUCUUCCUGGUCUACCCUCUGAUCGGGAGGUUGAGUUAAUCCCUGGUGAUGCACCUAUUUCUAAAGCACCAUAUCAGAUGAUACCUAUAGAAUUGAAAGAACUAAAGGUGCAGUUGUAAGAGUUAUUAGACAAAGCCUUUAUUUGUCCUAGUGCGUCACUUUGGGGAGCCCCUGUGUUGUUUGUGAAGAAGAAAGAUGAUUCAAUGAGGUUGUGUAUUGAUUAUCGACAGUUGAAUUUAGUUACUGUCAAGAAUAGGUAUCCUCUUCCUCGAAUUGAUGAUCUCUUUGAUCAACUUUGAGGUGCAGUGGUAUUCUCUAAGAUCAAUUUACGAUCUGGAUACCAUCAAGUGAAAAUCAGAAAUGAUGAUGUAGGAAGACGGCUUUUUGAACCCACUACGGGCAUUACGAGUUUCUAGUUAUGCCUUUUGGGCUAACUAAUGCUCCUGCAGCAUUCAUGGAUUUGAUGAAUAGGAUUUUCCAACCUUAUCUUGACCAGUUUGUCAUAAUCUUUAUUGACGACCGAUUGGUUUACUCUAAAAGUAAAGAAGAGCAUGAGUUACACUUGAGGAUUGCGUUGGAGACAUUGCGAGAGAAGAAACUGCACGCAAAAUUUAAGAAGUGUGAAUUUUGGCUUGAUCAAGUGGCAUUUUUAGGGCAUAUAGUGAUGAAAGAUGGCAUUUCGGUGGAUCCUGUCAAAGUGGAGGCAAUUAUAAAUUGGGAGAGACCUUCUAGUGUCACUGAAGUGAGGAGUUUCUUAGGAUUAGCUGGAUACUAUAGACGCUUUGUAAAAGGAUUUUCUAGCAUUGUAGCACCAUUGACCAAUUUGACAAAGAAGAAUGUGAAGUUUACAUGGAAUAAGGCUUGUGAAAGGAGUUUCCAAGAACUUAAGAGUCGUUUGGUGUCUGCUCCUAUCUUUAUAGUUCCUUCUGAUGGUGGAGGUUUUUUCAUUUAUAGUAAUGCUUCUAAGAAACAAUUGGGUUGUGUUUUAAUGCAGAAUGACAAAGUUGUGGCUUACGCUUCUAAGCAGUUAAAGAGUCAUGAGCAAACCUAUCCGACUCAUGAUUUAGAGCUGGCAGCUGUAGUGUUUGCUCUAAAGAUUUGGAGACAUUAUUUGCAUGGAGAAACUUGUGAGAUCUUCACCGACCACAAGAAAUACUUGUUUACUCAGAAGGAGUUGAACUUAAGGCAGAAGAGAUGGUUAGAGUUGGUGAAAGAUUUUAAUUGUACUAUUAAUUACCAUCCUGGUAAGGCCAAUGUUGUAGCCGAUGCAUUGAGUAGGAAAUCAUCAAGGUGUAUGGCACAUCUUAUCACCUCACAAACUCAUUUAGUAGAAGAACUAAGAAGAUAUGGGAUUGAGGUAAUGAUUCGUGGGCAAGUAGACUUAUUAGCUCACUUAACAGUCCGACCUAUUCUGAUUGACAAAAUUAAAGCAGCCCAAAAGGUCGACUCAGAGCUAAGUAAAAUUCGUGAAGAGGCAAUCAAAGGGCGCAAGCCCGAAUUCAGAAUUGCUUAUGACAAUAUGUUAUGGUUAGGUCAAAGGCUUUGCGUACCAGCAGAUGAAGGGUUGAAGGCAGAAAUCUUAAGAGAAGCUCAUGAAUCAUCUUAUAGCAUGCACCCGGGUAGUACUAAGAUGUAUCGUGAUCUAAAAGGUAGUUUUUUGUGGAGAAAUAUGAAAGGUGACAUUGCUGCUUUUGUGUCUCGAUGUUUGGUGUGCCAACAAGUAAAGAUUAAACAUCAAAGACCAGUAGGAACUUUACAGACACUUCCUAUUCCGCAAUGGAAAUAGGAACAUAUUACUAUGGAUUUCGUGUCUGGAUUGCCUCGUGCUAAGACGGGUUGUGAUUCCAUCUGGGUAAUAGUUGAUCGUUUGAUGAAGUCAGCUCAUUUCUUGGCAAGAAGGAGUACGGACAAUGUGGGACAACUAGCUAAGCUAUUAAUGAAAGAAAUAGUAAGGCUUCAUGGUGUACCCGUGUCAAUUGUGUCCGAUAGAGAUCCGCAAUUCACUUCGAGAUUUUGGGCUAGUUUGCAUAAAGAAUUAGGGACGAAAUUGAGAUUCACCACUGCUUUCCAUCCACAAACAGAUGGACAAUCCGAAAGGACCAUUCAAACCCUUGAGGAUAUGCUUCGAGCUUGUGUUUUGGAUUUGAGUGGUGGUUGGGAAGAACACCUAAUGUUGAUCGAGUUUGCUUACAAUAAUAGCUUCCACUCAAGUAUCGGUAUGGCACCAUUUGAAGCACUAUAUGGAAGAAAGUGUAGGUCUCCAAUAUGUUGGGAUGAGGUUGGUGAGGGAAGGCUUUUGGGUCUAGAAUUAGUGCAAAUUACUGUUGAUAAAAUCAAGCUGAUUAGAGAAUGUCUUUGGACAACUCAGAGUAGACAACAGAGUUAUGCAGAUCGUCGUAGACGUGACCUAUAAUUUGAAGAAGGAGACUUUGUUUUCUU